GGGUUGCUCGGGUGAUGGAGCCGGUGGCUCGCUGGAUGCGCGGCCCCGAGGGUUAGUGUGUUGAUGGUGCCCUUUUGGUGGCGUGUUGAUGGUGCUCUUUAGGUGGCGUGUUGUAACAUUUUUCGCCCCGAGGGUUAGUGUGUUGAUGGUGCUCUUUAGGUUUUCCUUUUUAGAAGAUUUUUGUUAACUCUAUCAAGUAGAAGCAGCCCGAGAAAAGAAUUGCCUAAAGAGCCCCCUCUCCCGCUAGCCCCUGCUAGGAUCCCUCGUUCCUCCAUCCCGUUGUCGCCAGUCGCCCUCGCCCUCCAGCCGCCGACAGCGCUCGGCUGGCGCCCCUUCCCCCCUCCCCUUCCCAGAUCCCGCCCUAGCGUCGUCUUCUCGGGAGGUGGUCGGGGCGGCCCGAGCUCCUCCCCCGCCGGCCCCCUCCUCCCUCCUUACCCUCGCCGCCAUCGGCAGGUGCAUCCGGCCCUGGCCCGGGUGGUGUCGGUGGCGGCGGGAUCUCUUUUCCCCGUGCGUGUGCUUCCCCUUCCCGGUGCAAGGGGCGACAACGGUGGUCCGGCGACCCGACGGCUGUGGCCGGCGGUAGGUGGGGCGGUGGCGCUGCUCCAUGGUGGUGGGGCGCGUAUGAGAGCACGGGGUGGCCGGCGGCGCGCCCCUGGCCCAUAUCUGGGUCCUAGCGGGCCGGCACCCGAUGUGGCCUUGAUGUCCUCUGCGUGGUGAGGAGGAGGAGCAACUUCGACGGGGGUGGCGACGCCAACGAUGUGACUGUUGCAGAGCGAUGGCGGGAGCUUUACGGGCUUUGAGGUCCCGACCGGGCAUAUGGGCCCACGGGCCUAGUAUGCUCCUGCUACUGCGUCCGGUCGGCUACCGUCAUUGACGGUGGAGGUUGAGCCUUCCCGCGUGCCUACAGUGAUGUUGUUCCUAGUCUCGACUUCUUUUCAUCGUUGUGCAGGCCUCUCCUUGCGUUGUUGUGGUGAGACGGCGUGGGGGCUUCAAGACCAUGUUGGCGAAGGGUGGAGGUUGGUUUGGUGGCAGGCUCCACAGCGCGUGACGUGCAGGCUAGGAUAGGGCAGAAACCCUUGUCGGCCCAAUCGACACCAACGCGGUGGUGCCUUUGGGUGCCGCCAAACCUUCGUGGAGGGCGUCGGGGCUACCCUUCGCGCCUCAUCGCGUAUCGGGGAAAACCCUUGGCGAUAGCGUCGUCAUCGUCGUGGUCCUUCUUUGGGAUGUUGAUUGAUACCGGCGCUUCGGAGUCUUGGAUCUUAAUGGGAGCUAGGUGGGUACAGCGAUCGCGAGACUUCCUCGAUUUUUUAUCGAUCCGUCGGUAUCAGUAUUUAUUUCUUUUGUAUAUUUUUUAGCGUGAUUGUGCUGCUUUCGCACCACCACCUAAUUUAGGACGGCAAACGACAUCCAAUUUCGUAAUAAUGAAAGCCGAGGGCCUCUCGUCUCAGGUCCGCUAGCCUACGGGGCCAUCGCCGGCUACGCCGCCCUACAUGUCACGCCGGCUUGGCCACUUUGCCAAUGUCGCCGCACCUUUCGACCCUUUCGUCAUGACGGCGCCGGCGGCUGCCAAUUUCCAACAAAGUUCACAAGGCGCGCAGUGAUCAUCGCCUUGUCUGCCAUAUGCGAGUCGCGCUAAUUCCUUUUCUUUCCAGUCUAGUCUAGUAGCUGGUACGUACUUUAAUCCAUGUGAUUUGACCCGGACGGGCGGAGAGGGCCCUUCCCCGCCGAAAUCACGCACAAAGCGGAGCAAUGCGGCCUCUCGCGUCUCCAGGAGCCAGCGGCUGUUCCUAAAUACAGUUACAGUAGAACACAGCACCGGACGGUGGAUUCAUUUGGAGCUCUCAAAGGGCCAUUUGGAGCUCUGGACCCUCCCAGCCCAGGGUCCCAGCGUGACCUGCAUCUGCAUGCCUACCACCGUCUUCGUCUGAAUAUCUGAUAAACGGCCCCGAGCCUGAGUGACUGCAUCUGCAUGCUUGACUGAUCCACUGCAUUUUACCAGCUCAGCUCACGACGGAAAAACUUCUCCUGUAUAACGAGGAUACUUGCGGCAGCGAGGCAUCGGUCACCGUGGUAACUGGAGUUGCUCCCUUCACUGGACGGCAUGCUAACUGGAGUUUCUUACUUGUGCAGCUUAAUUGACUGCUUAGUUCCUGUGGAAAACUAACGUAGCCAGUGUAAAUAGUCAGAGAAUUCCACUUGGGUACAAUGACACGUACUACUAGUAGUCUUCACAUCCUGGCGUCUACGCAUGUCAGCAUAGCAGACAAAUGUGCGUCCGCCAUUUUAUAGUUCAGAGAAAUCUGCGUGCGUCCUGCCGUAUCUAUCCACCAGGAGCAAAAUUGACCAACCUCUUCCAAUCUCGACAAAAUGCGGUGACAACGGUCCGAGGAAAAAAUAGCGAUGCAGUUAACAUCAGGGACACGAUCGCACACAGAGGUCAAUUGGUAGUCUACCUGAAGCGGCCGGGCCACUUCGUAGUACCACUACUAACCAACAGCAGCCGGCUAAGGGCAGGCUAGCCCCGUCAUCGUUUCACCUACCGUGCCGCCGUUCCCCCGAGAAAGAAAAAUAUAAUUGCCGCUGCUUGCAUCCCCUGCUUCGUCCAUUGCGUUGCGUGGAAAAUAGAAAUGGAAGAAGCGCAGCGAGAGGCGACAGAGAGCAGGUCAAGUGGCGAAAGGGAUCACGGGACGGGACCGGAUCGCUGUGACGCACCAAAUCAAACGUUACUAGUAAUAAGUACGGGAGCAAGAUUGCUGUCAGCUCAUCUUUCUAUCUAUCCAUGUGUAUGUGUACGUAACCNNNNNNNNNNNNNNNNNNNNNNNNNNNNNNNNNNNNNNNNNNNNNNNNNNNNNNNNNNNNNNNNNNNNNNNNNNNNNNNNNNNNNNNNNNNNNNNNNNNNGUAUAUUAAAUGGUCAAUAAUUGCUUUCAGAAACAAACAUGGUACUAUGAACAUUCAUACUUGGAUACGUAUAUAUGUACAUGUACGCGAGAUAUUCACGUGGACCCUGAUACUAGUUAGUGAGUAUUAUACCAAACGAAAUAUAUACAUGUCGAAGUUAUAUCCAAUGAAAAUGUAGACAUAAAUGUCAUACUUUUAAUAUCUACAUGAUGGUGUCGUAUCAAAUGAAAUAUGCAUACCUUGAUGUGAAUAUACACAUGAAUAUAUACAUACCUUGAUGUGAAUAUACAAAUGAAUAUGUACAUGUUGGUGAUAUACCUAAUAAAAACAUAUAUAUAAAUAUAAAUAACUCGAUGUGAAUUUUAUUUGUAUAUAUACCUAUAAAUGUCACAUCUUUUAAGUAUGUACCCGAAAUAUCACGUGUGCAUUUUCUUAAACCGUGAUAUCAAUUAGUGGGUAUUAUACCUAAUGUAUCUAAUAUGCACAUGUAUGUACCCGACUAGGUAAAAAAGGAUAAAAAAUAUUGUAGGUAUCUCAUCAACGUACAUAAAGUAAAGUAUGACUACAUAUACCUGUCUACGUGAAAUAUGGCAUCCAUAGGUAUAUGAUACCCAAAGUCAUAAAAUGGUUGCAAAAGAAAAUACUAACUUAAUUUGAAAUAAUUAAUAAAAAUUGAAUGUACCAACCCAAUGUGUAUGCACAUGUAUGAAAAAUAUGUACAUAUACUCAACGUCGUGAACGUUCAAGAUACAAUAAUGAGGGCCCUAAUUACUAGUUUUUUCUCUCUCUAAUUUUUAUUACUCCCCCGUCACAGUUUAUAAGGCAUGCACGUGUAUCUAGGUCGUCAAUUUGACUUAUAUAAAAUAUAUUAUUUAACAUAAAAAUUAUAUCAUUAGAAAAUAAAACAUCUCAAGUUUCUAAUGAUAUAUUUUUUAUAAUAUAUGUCUCUCAUUAAGUUGGUCAAAUUGACGACCUAGAUACACGUGCCGGACUUAUAAACUGAAACGGAGAGAGUACUAGUAUAUUAAAUGGUCAAUAAUUGCUUUCAGAAACAAACAUGGUACUAUGAACAUUCAUACUUGGAUACGUAUAUAUGUACAUGUACGCGAGAUAUUCACGUGGACCCUGAUACUAGUUAGUGAGUAUUAUACCAAACGAAAUAUAUACAUGUCGAAGUUAUAUCCAAUGAAAAUGUAGACAUAAAUGUCAUACUUUUAAUAUCUACAUGAUGGUGUCGUAUCAAAUGAAAUAUGCAUACCUUGAUGUGAAUAUACACAUGAAUAUAUACAUACCUUGAUGUGAAUAUACAAAUGAAUAUGUACAUGUUGGUGAUAUACCUAAUAAAAACAUAUAUAUAAAUAUAAAUAACUCGAUGUGAAUUUUAUUUGUAUAUAUACCUAUAAAUGUCACAUCUUUUAAGUAUGUACCCGAAAUAUCACGUGUGCAUUUUCUUAAACCGUGAUAUCAAUUAGUGGGUAUUAUACCUAAUGUAUCUAAUAUGCACAUGUAUGUACCCGACUAGGUAAAAAAGGAUAAAAAAUAUUGUAGGUAUCUCAUCAACGUACAUAAAGUAAAGUAUGACUACAUAUACCUGUCUACGUGAAAUAUGGCAUCCAUAGGUAUAUGAUACCCAAAGUCAUAAAAUGGUUGCAAAAGAAAAUACUAACUUAAUUUGAAAUAAUUAAUAAAAAUUGAAUGUACCAACCCAAUGUGUAUGCACAUGUAUGAAAAAUAUGUACAUAUACUCAACGUCGUGAACGUUCAAGAUACAAUAAUGAGGGCCCUAAUUACUAGUUUUUUCUCUCUCUAAUUUUUAUUACUCCCCCGUCACAGUUUAUAAGGCAUGCACGUGUAUCUAGGUCGUCAAUUUGACUUAUAUAAAAUAUAUUAUUUAACAUAAAAAUUAUAUCAUUAGAAAAUAAAACAUCUCAAGUUUCUAAUGAUAUAUUUUUUAUAAUAUAUGUCUCUCAUUAAGUUGGUCAAAUUGACGACCUAGAUACACGUGCCGGACUUAUAAACUGAAACGGAGAGAGUACUAGUAUAUUAAAUGGUCAAUAAUUGCUUUCAGAAACAAACAUGGUACUAUGAACAUUCAUACUUGGAUACGUAUAUAUGUACAUGUACGCGAGAUAUUCACGUGGACCCUGAUACUAGUUAGUGAGUAUUAUACCAAACGAAAUAUAUACAUGUCGAAGUUAUAUCCAAUGAAAAUGUAGACAUAAAUGUCAUACUUUUAAUAUCUACAUGAUGGUGUCGUAUCAAAUGAAAUAUGCAUACCUUGAUGUGAAUAUACACAUGAAUAUAUACAUACCUUGAUGUGAAUAUACAAAUGAAUAUGUACAUGUUGGUGAUAUACCUAAUAAAAACAUAUAUAUAAAUAUAAAUAACUCGAUGUGAAUUUUAUUUGUAUAUAUACCUAUAAAUGUCACAUCUUUUAAGUAUGUACCCGAAAUAUCACGUGUGCAUUUUCUUAAACCGUGAUAUCAAUUAGUGGGUAUUAUACCUAAUGUAUCUAAUAUGCACAUGUAUGUACCCGACUAGGUAAAAAAGGAUAAAAAAUAUUGUAGGUAUCUCAUCAACGUACAUAAAGUAAAGUAUGACUACAUAUACCUGUCUACGUGAAAUAUGGCAUCCAUAGGUAUAUGAUACCCAAAGUCAUAAAAUGGUUGCAAAAGAAAAUACUAACUUAAUUUGAAAUAAUUAAUAAAAAUUGAAUGUACCAACCCAAUGUGUAUGCACAUGUAUGAAAAAUAUGUACAUAUACUCAACGUCGUGAACGUUCAAGAUACAAUAAUGAGGGCCCUAAUUACUAGUUUUUUCUCUCUCUAAUUUUUAUUACUCCCCCGUCACAGUUUAUAAGGCAUGCACGUGUAUCUAGGUCGUCAAUUUGACUUAUAUAAAAUAUAUUAUUUAACAUAAAAAUUAUAUCAUUAGAAAAUAAAACAUCUCAAGUUUCUAAUGAUAUAUUUUUUAUAAUAUAUGUCUCUCAUUAAGUUGGUCAAAUUGACGACCUAGAUACACGUGCCGGACUUAUAAACUGAAACGGAGAGAGUACUAGUAUAUUAAAUGGUCAAUAAUUGCUUUCAGAAACAAACAUGGUACUAUGAACAUUCAUACUUGGAUACGUAUAUAUGUACAUGUACGCGAGAUAUUCACGUGGACCCUGAUACUAGUUAGUGAGUAUUAUACCAAACGAAAUAUAUACAUGUCGAAGUUAUAUCCAAUGAAAAUGUAGACAUAAAUGUCAUACUUUUAAUAUCUACAUGAUGGUGUCGUAUCAAAUGAAAUAUGCAUACCUUGAUGUGAAUAUACACAUGAAUAUAUACAUACCUUGAUGUGAAUAUACAAAUGAAUAUGUACAUGUUGGUGAUAUACCUAAUAAAAACAUAUAUAUAAAUAUAAAUAACUCGAUGUGAAUUUUAUUUGUAUAUAUACCUAUAAAUGUCACAUCUUUUAAGUAUGUACCCGAAAUAUCACGUGUGCAUUUUCUUAAACCGUGAUAUCAAUUAGUGGGUAUUAUACCUAAUGUAUCUAAUAUGCACAUGUAUGUACCCGACUAGGUAAAAAAGGAUAAAAAAUAUUGUAGGUAUCUCAUCAACGUACAUAAAGUAAAGUAUGACUACAUAUACCUGUCUACGUGAAAUAUGGCAUCCAUAGGUAUAUGAUACCCAAAGUCAUAAAAUGGUUGCAAAAGAAAAUACUAACUUAAUUUGAAAUAAUUAAUAAAAAUUGAAUGUACCAACCCAAUGUGUAUGCACAUGUAUGAAAAAUAUGUACAUAUACUCAACGUCGUGAACGUUCAAGAUACAAUAAUGAGGGCCCUAAUUACUAGUUUUUUCUCUCUCUAAUUUUUAUNNNNNNNNNNNNNNNNNNNNNNNNNNNNNNNNNNNNNNNNNNNNNNNNNNNNNNNNNNNNNNNNNNNNNNNNNNNNNNNNNNNNNNNNNNNNNNNNNNNNUAGUGCAAUAUAUACACAGCAAAAGAACAAAAAAAAGGUAAGAAAGAAGGGAAAUUAGCCAAUGCCAGUUCUUGUGACAAUCAUGAUCAAAGCCCAAUUGAUAAGCUGCUAGUGUCGAUCAUCAUAGAUGUGCACCAAUCCAUCCUUGCAGUGCAAUCAGAUGCUUUGCCUUGAUUCUAUGCUUGUCACGCCCAAGAUACGACCCUAUCCUCAAUUUGGCACAAGGGCCUCGUCAGGGAUAGAAGCGCAUCUCGUCGUGUCGCAAGAAUGGAUAUCGUUACAAGUACAUGUACUGAAAAGAAGAGAUAUAUAAAGAGAGUUGGCUUACACUCGCCACAAGCUACAUCAGAGUCACAUCAGUACAUUACAUAAAUAUCAAGAGUAAGAGCAGGGUCCGACUACCGACGAAAACAAACGAGAAAAAUAAGAACGACGUCCAUCCUUGCUACCCCAGGCUGCCGGCCUGGAACCCAUCCUAGAUCGACGAAGAAGAAGAAGAAGCAACUCCAAAUGAACAAUCAACGCGCUCGCGUCAAGUAACCUUUACUUGUACCUGCAACUGGUGUUGUAGUAAUCUGUGAGCCACAAGGGACUCAGCAAUCUCAUUUCCAAAGGUAUCAAGACUAACAAAGUUUAAUGGAUGAGGUAAGGAUAAGUGGUGAGGUUGCAGCAACGGCUAAGCAUAUAUAUGGUGGCUAACUUACGAGUGCAAGAAAUAAGAGGGGGAAGAUCUACGCAUAACGGACGUGAACUACUGAUGAUCAAAUGAAUGAUCCUGAACACCUACCUACGUCAGACAAAACCCCACCGUGUCCUCGAUCGGAGAAGGAACUCACGAAAGAGACAGUCACGGUUACGCACACAGUUGGCAUAUUUNNNNNNNNNNNNNNNNNNNNNNNNNNNNNNNNNNNNNNNNNNNNNNNNNNNNNNNNNNNNNNNNNNNNNNNNNNNNNNNNNNNNNNNNNNNNNNNNNNNNAGAGAGAGAAGGACUCGUCGGGAGGGCUCGAGAUCUGUGUCGGGAGAGGGGGGAAUUCUUGAGAUCGGAAUCGGAUCAAGCGGGCGCGCUCGGGAAGGGGUUAUUACCAUACCAAAUUUUCCCAGGAACCCGUAAGUUUCUUCGGCCAACCCGGAAUGUUUUCCGUCUCUUUGAUUGUGCCGCGGUAGUCUGUAGAUUUCUGGCUUCUAGGUCUUGUUGUUGUGCGAUGUAGUUGUGCUCUUUUGACCAGCUAGUUUCUAGGAGAAUUGAUCUCUGGUAGUUGUAGUUUGCAUCUGGAUCUGGGAUGUAUUAUCUUAGCUAUGACUUGUAGAUUGGUUGCUCCUAGUAGUUACUACUCCAAUAUACAAGAUCUAUCUACCAGAAAUGCAACUACUGAAUGUAUGUGCACAGUGAUCAUUAAAUAGUUAAUAUUCAGUGAUCAUUAUAAUUAGAUUAUAAUAGUUAAUAUUCAGUGAUCAUUUAUAUCUUGAUAAUAUUAAAUGCAACUACUCCAGUGUAUUCUGGAGUUAAUGCUCCUAGUAGUUAAUAUUCAGUAGUUAGAUUGUAGUAUCUUUGCUAUGACUUGCAGUUUGCACAGUGAUCUGGGAUGUAUUAUCUUAACUAUAAUCUAAUAGUUAAUAUUCUAGAGUUCUAUUUUUUAUUCGCCUUACGGUUCCAGAAUUUUCUUAAUCUAGAAUUUUGUAAUCUCGUUCCUCAGACUUCCAAAUUUCGAUUUGUAUUUUUGGUUUCCCGUGAAAUUCGACCAAAAGCACAUUGCUUUUACCAAAACGCCACUCUGAAAAAGCACAUUGCUUUUACCAAAAUGCCACUCUGAAAAAGCACAUUGCUUUUACCAAAAUGCCACUCUGAAACGCACCUGACCUGCAGCUCUGCACAGGUGAAAAGGCAACACAUCUUUGACAUCCCCACGACCGGACUUGAGCAGCAGCAGGCCGCAGCAGACAGAUCUUCUCGACACCCACCGACGGCUAAGCGGAUAUGGCGGCUUCACCGGCAACGUCGUCCGCGGCCGCGGGGGCCUCCUCCUCCGCGUGGCUAUCCAGCGCGCCUCUGCGUUCGCCCAGAGUCGCCGCUGCCUCGUUCCCGUCGCCCAACUCCGGUACGCUCCUGCUCACCAUCUCGACCGCCGCUCUUUCGACGGCCUGCUGCUUCUGAUUCCUGCCAUUCGAUUCGUGCAGUUCGUCCGGCCGCGCUGGUCGUGGAUGCUCGGGCCUCUCGGCUCUCCGUCGUGACCGCAGCCGCCGCAGGGCACCAGCGGCUGAUGGGGUCGCUGACCAACAACGAGGGGCUCAGGUUCGGCGUGGUGAGUGAUUGCUCCUCUGUGUCGCCACCUCUUGGCCAGCGAGCGACUUUACUUCAAUAAGAGACAGUGGUUAAUGGCUUAUGACUAGAAAUAGAAUCACUGGAGAUAAAACUUGUACUGAACCUGUUAAUGAAAUCUUGGCCAUGAACAAAACUUAUAAGGAGACAACAACACUACCAGCAUGAUUAAUAGAGGGAACCACCUGGCAAAUAGAACCACUACCUUCCUGUUUUUCAACACCAUUUACCUUUCCAUUGUCUAACUCUGGUUCUUUAAUCGACGUGCAGGUUGUGGCACGGUUCAAUGAGAUAGUGACCAACUUGCUUCUGCAGGGGGCUCUAGAGGCAUUCGAGCGAUACUCCGUCAAAGCAGAAAAUAUCACCGUGCGUAUCUUUAUUCACUUGUUUAAAUCGAAGUUAUUUUGGGCCAUGUUGAAAUGCAAACAUAUCUUGAACCUCAUUAACAACCCAUCAUGUUUUUCGGUUCUUAAAGAGGUGAUGUUAUAACCUAGCCCAAACAAAAUCAUCUCCCGGCUGCUCAGCAGUUUCUUGCCAUGUAAAUAUCAGAACUCAUGGUCAAUUUGCAAAAAAGAAGACGAAGGAAAACAAUGUGCCUUUGGAUUAAUAUUGUUUGGUUGCUUUCCUAACUGCUGUUGGGGCCAAAACACUUGUUUCAUGAACUAUUGCCCAUGAAUCACCAAUUCAGCAUGCACCCACUCUUGUUGGAUGACUUAACCACUUCAAGGAGAAACUAUGUUGUUCCUGUUCUUUGGACAACAUAUAUAAUUUAUGUAUACGUGUUUGUGAACUACUUUGAUCUUCCUUGAUGAAAGUUUUACAUGGGGGUUGUAUAAUUGUGUAGGGACACUAAUAUAACGAAUUUUAUCGCUCUAACAGAAUCUUUGACAUGACAUAUCUUUAAAUGGGUUGUUUUCCAUGUAAAGCCCCCCUCGCCCCCCCUCCACAAAACAUAGAAGGGGAACGUAUACCCAUCUCGUAUUGUACAGUACAGGCCAGCAUACGUAUGAAAUACGAGGUGGGUGUAUGUACGGCCGCCUGUAGUGUACAAAAGUGUACAAUACGAGAUGGGUAUACGUUUCCCUUUUUACGUUUUGUGGAGGGGGGCUCUACCGAGGCAAAAGUGUUCUUAGAAAUCUUAGAUAUAAAUAAAUUUACACCAAUAUACAUAGUGCAUGAUGCUUCAUCUGCACACUGAUUAAAAACAACCUUAAUCCUAAAUAAGUUAUGCAACUAUUUUUCCAUGCAUCACUCUAAUUUUCAACUUCUUUUUUAGGUUGUUAGUGUUCCUGGCAGCUUUGAAAUUCCUGUUGCAGCACAGAAGCUUGGGAAGUCUGGAAAGUAUGAUGCAAUUUUGUGCAUUGGGGCUGUGGUAAGUCUUCUUUGUAUCUUUGUCAGAUGAUUAAAUCUCAAAAGUUGAAGAGACCAGCAUACUUUUAUGCCCUUUUCUUCUUUUGCUGUCUAUGAGGUAGAGGCUAUCACAUUAUCUAUAAUUUAGAAAUCAGAAAAUCACAACUUGUUGGAAUAAGGACUUUCACAUAUAUCUUAUUGUCUUUUAACAUCUCUUAACCAUGAUUCUGCAACCUGUCUGUCUUUUAAGCAGCAUAAGGCUAGCUUAUGCCAAGCUUGAUAAGUAUUUCCCUCCAUUAAUCAUGCUGCUCGUGUUGUUGUCAUAGUAAUACUAGCUAAAAGCUAUCCUUCGUAAACCCAUAGUUAUCGUGUUGAUGCUAUUUGAUUUUGAAGUUCUUUUUUGGAACGAUUUGCAGAUUAGAGGUGACACAACUCACUAUGAUGCUGUUGCAAACUCUGCUGCUUCAGGUGUACUCAAUGCUGGAUUGUCUGCUGGUAUGUUGCUUUUAUCUCUUAGCCUCCUUUUAUCAAGCCAGUUGGGUUGUAGAGAACUUAUUCUCUGAGUCCAUUUAUGUUCCAAUUGUCGUAUUUCUUAUUAGUAAGGCCACUAUGGGUGCAUAUGGAUAUGGGUUUACAUUUAAUUUUCCAGCUGUUAAUAGGCAUAACUAGAUGGGAAAGUUUUUGAUAAUCAUUGAUGCUCAAUGAACAUUCAAAGCUAAACAGCAACAGAUAUCCAUAUAUGUCUCAUAUGACUUAGAGAGUUAUGUACCCAGUGACUAGUGUGAGUAAAGAUUAUUGGGUUCGAAUUGUGACAUCCGAACCUUGUGUUGUUUUCUCUAUCUGGUGAUUACAAUUUGCAGCUACUUAAAAUUCAGAAUCUGGCUGAUUGCUUUUCUAAUUUUACCAUAGGUAUCCCCUGCGUGUUUGGUGUUUUGACCUGUGAUGACAUGGACCAGGUAAUUCAUGAUUCAGUAACAUAUAUGUCUUUUUAAAUGUUCCAUAAAAGCAUAAUUAUGUAUCCUGUUCGGUUGUUAUUUCACCCAUCUAUUUUAAUUAGCUAGUUAUUCUGUACCAUGAAUCCAUAGUACCAUCAGAAGAAAUAACAUUUUUGGAGGAGGUAAAGACUUGAAUGUUCUCGAUCAUGUUUCAAAGCCAUAUGCCAACUCAAACUGAAGAUGCAUCUCCACUUGUACAUGCUGAUAAGAGAAGCAAUCCUGUUGAUAUGCGUUCUGUAAAGUAAUCUCAACUUGGUUCCAGCAUGCGUGUAGCAAUGAUGCAGAAGUGUGAAGUGCCCUACAUGCUUUAUGGUGCAAUUGCCAUGUGCAUAACGUGAUCAUUUAGCUUAUGUGUGGUUUGAUCCUUGCUUAACCAAUUAAACUUUCCUUGUGUGAAAACAAAUGCUAAAAUCACACACGUUCUUGCUGCAGGCGCUAAAUCGUGCUGGUGGCAAGGCAGGAAACAAGGGCGCCGAGACCGCUAUAACAGCUGUAAGUACUUAUUUGCUUGGGAAGUUUAUAAACCCGUCUACUUUUACAGUUCACCUGACAGACUCCCAUCUCCUGUUGUAGAUUGAGAUGGCCUCGCUGUUUCGGCAUCACCUAGCCUGAUGGUACCGAAUGCUGUUGUCGUCGAGCCAGCGAGAUUUUCUCCCCUGUCCGUGGCAAUCAGAGUUUUCUCUUAACACAAUUGUUUCAUAUUUCUUUGUAUUGCUACAGGCUAGUGUUUGAUCUGUCGUUUCAAUGUUAUUUUGGUCUGUAUGUAUGUACUCCGAUUGCCGGUCCACCUUUGCCCGCAAGAAACUUGCAAGUCUAGAGCUGGAAUAAACCUUUUCUUUAACACAGAAUAAAUCUUUUUCUAGAUGCAUGAAUAAACCUUUUCACCGUGCCCUAUUUUUGUUUCGUGAUGGGUGGCUGUCUGGGUAGUGUCUAUUGUAGAACUGAGAAAAAAAUGUUGCAGCAUGUAUGUUCAUGGUUGUUGGCUGGGCGCCUGUGCUGCACAAACACGUUCGGUUCGGUGGUUCCUCUUCCUCCCCGGUAGCGACCUCCGCUCCGUUGCAUCGCUAGUUCUCUGACAUGUGCGGAUGGUAGUUUAUACAUUUCUUAUUAAUUGUAAACAUUAUUGAUCAAUUAAGCUUAGUGAUCGUCCAGAUUUCAAUCUCUGACGUUCGUAUUAUUUCUGAAUUUAUUUUAGAUUUUUCGACGAUGCACAUUCAAUGAAAGGAGACGUUUCCGUCAACGACGACGUGUUCAUAAUGACUGUAAAUUUUAAAACUGUAUGCAUGUGUAUGUUCAUAAAGAUGAAUGUAUGUGUGUUUAUACGAAUGUUUAAGUCGUGUUAAAUUCUUUUAAGCUUAGCGAUGUUCUUUUUCUUUUAGAAAAACCCGCCUUCGCGGGGCUCCCUGCGCUGGGUAUCCGGUGUAUCAGGGUUUCUUUUAGAAAUGUGCAGCAACACACAUCUUUACUCUUCGCCGGCCGGAGUUGGAGCCACGUCGCCGACGAGCAGACGCUGACCGUUGACGCACCUCCCACCUCGGCGCCUCCGUCGCAGCCGCACGUCCCAUCUCGGCGACGCCGCUGCCCCUCCGUCCCCGCCCGCCGCGCAGCCCACCACUAGUCCAAUUCGAGAAGGACCGCAGCCCGCGGGACUCGAUCGAUUGGUUCGGCCGCUGAACUCAGCACGCCUCCUCCAUCCCGACACCUCGCCCGCCGCACCUCCGUCUCCAAAAAGAGCCAGUGUCCGCCUUGUUGGUCGUUGCUUACCGCGCUCGUCUUGGCAAUGGCAAUGGGGGGUUCCGCGGGAUCGACGUCGACGACUCUCUUCCCGACUGGGAGUGGAGGCCUUGCCGCAAGAUGGGGGUGCCAUCUGAUUCUGAGGUCAGAUGCUCAACGGACUUGACCUCCUCAUCUCUUAGUUAUCUAUCUCUCUUGUUAUUUUUUCCGUCACUUGGAUUUAAGGACAUGUUUGGGACUGUUUUGCUCCAUCAAAAUCAGCUCCGCUUCAUCAAAUUCACUUUAAAGCAGUUUCAUAUAGGAGUUGCAACCAUUUCAAGAGAAUGUUUGGCUCUCAUUUAGCUUCAGCUUCACGAAUGAAAAAUUUGGUGAAAAGGAUCUAUUUGAUUGGAUGAGAGGUAAUAAACGAAGGGGUAUCCACUUACUGGUGGCAGUGGUGGAUAAUUUUCUUCCAACUCCAGUUUCCAUAAUUUUAUGGAACACCUCCUAGAGAGCUUCACAAAAAAAAAGUAGUUGGACCCCAGAUUCUAGUUUUUUUGUGAAACGGUAUAUCGUGAAGCUACCCCGUUUGGCUUACAUUUUCUAGAGCUGAGCUGAAUUUCUGAAGCAGAGCAGUCCCAAACAGACUCCAAGACUCUGAAUUUUGCGAUAACCCAUGGAGCGGCUUGUUUUCUGCAGACAGACUGAGGGGUUCGUAGCCCUCCAAGGAGUGUACCGCAUUGGCGCAGGAAGCCAGGUGGGCGGGCUGUUUAUUUCUUUGGCUAUCUGAUGGUAAUAUGAAGCUGCCAAGGCAUUAGUAAUUUACUGAAUGUCUCCUUCUGGAACAGAGUGAGGAGAGCGAUGACGACCCUGCCCCUGAUGAUGUUGUACAACAUGAUACCUGGGUAAGUUUUUACUGGGCUGGGCAUUCCUGUUCCAGUAUCAUAUGUUUCUGUUGCCAGAAUGUUGCUAUAUUACAUCGCUCUGCACCCAGCCGCUUCAUAUGUUCAGACUUCAGACAAAAAAAUACAACAGUUUCACCAAAUAGCUGUGUAAGUCUGCAAUUUGAAUUGAUGUUUUUUCAAUAAGGACCGUGAUAACUGCGAUCCUUCUUUUGCGAUUGACUUUUAAGUUAUAAAACUAAAAAUCUUCAGCUCCUAAUUUAAAUACUCCCCCGUCCCAAAAUAAAUGUCGUUGAUCUAGUAUAAAAUUUGUACUACAAAUUUUGCGACACUUAUUUUGGGACGGAGGGAGUAUUCGCCAGCCAUGAUUUCUAUCUCUUUGCAGGUUCAGAGCUCCAGGGAUAAUGUUCAUGUUUAUGAUUUCCAUAUUGUCUACAGCUUUUCUUACAAGGUUCCGGUGCUAUAUUUUCAAGGUCUUCAGUCUGGUAUGCACAUCCCGUAAAAUUGCUAUAUAUUUACUUCCUCUGUUCUCCUUUUUGAUAGCCAACAUCUGCAACUUGUCCUUAGGUGGGCAGCUACUAACUUUAGAUGAGAUAAAAAAGGAGCUGACUUUUCAUACUUGCCCACCUAAGGAUGUAACUUUAGGUGGGCAGCUAUUAUAUGGCAAGACUUUUCAUACUUAUGAUUCUUUUUUUGUUUCCUAACUAUUAGACAUGCAAGACUUGCCAUAUAAUAAAUAAUAUUAAUGUCUGAUUUUUAUUUGAUCUGAUAUGGUUAUCUAUUGCGCGUAUUUUUGUUUCCUAGAUAUCUAAUACACGUAUAUAAUACCUAUACCUACUAACACAUGUAUUUAAUUUUUUUGAAACGUUACAUUUUAUUUUUGUUUUCUAACUAUCUAAUAUAGGUAUGGAAUACCUACUAAUAAAAUUAUGUACAUACGCGGGUAGGUAUAUAAUCAAUAGUUUAUUUGCUAACUAUCUAAUACCUAACGAAAUUAUUUACAUACACAGGUACGUAUAUACCCAGCUCCAUAGAAUAUGACUACGUAUAUACCCGGCUACAUAACUAUAUUCGUACAUGAGUAUUUUCCCAUGGGGACAAAAGGUAACCAUACCUUUUAUACCCAAGAUGAUGAUAUACCUAAGUAUUUAAUUAUGUAUAUGACUUCUUAUAUUAUAUAAAAAGGAAAAAAGUGCAUGUAUAAGAAAUAAAGUUGGGCACGUACAUGAAGCAUACAUGGCCGGACCAUUAAUUGCUCAUUUUUUCUACCUUAUUUAAUCUAUGCAUUAAGGGUCCAUAUCAAGCAAUAAUUAGCAAUAAUUAUUUCUUAAUAAAGAGCUAAUGGGUUGAUCCAUUAUGAUUAAUACUAAUUACACAUGCACACAUCUCAAUGUAAUCCAACGGUUUUUAGGCAAGGUGCCCCAAACGGGCGUCCUAAAAUGGUCAAAUGUUUGGGGCACCUAGGUGACUGGGCACCUUGAUUGUUUUGAAAACCGAGGUAUAUAUAUACAUAUACAUAUAUAUAAAGCAAAUAUUGCUUCUGUCCUCCGUCAUUGAAACUACCCUCAAAGUUGUAAUAAAUUACCCACUAUGCCAUCCAUAAGUUAUAAAAAACGGUUCGUUUUUUUAAAUCGCAGCCCGUCGUGCAUGUUUCAUAUAAAGUUAUCCCUAAAUAUGUGCAUAAGAUAAUAAGUGGCUGACUGGCUGCAUCACUUGGGAGACCCGAGUUCGAGUUCCACUUCUCUCGCCUUUUGCUGUUCGCUUCCUUUUUAACUCGCAGUCCAUCAAAGCUGAUUCAUACAAAAUUAUCCCAACAAGCAUCACCAAAGAACAAGAGCCCGACUGGCUAUGUAUUUCGAGCUUGCAUUCGGGAGAUCUGAGUUCAAAUCCCAUUACUCUCCUUUUUCUGUAUUUUUUUCAUAUCUUCCAAGCCUUGACCUUAAUUUAACAUGUUACAUAUGAAAAUCAUCCAAAAAAUUAUGCAGAUUCCAAAUAUAAUAUUAUCAUGCAUGUUUAUUAUUUCAGUAAUUAUAUUUAUGAUGUAUCCUUAAUUCAUACUCUUUAUAUGGGAUAUAUUGAAUGUCUAAUAUAUAUGUUUCCUACCAUUUAAAUUGAUUAGCUAGGAUAGAUUGAUACUCUCAUAAAAUCGACUAUCGGCACAUUAGGAAUGUUCAUUCCUACCAACUACCAUAUGCAAAAGGUCACAACAAGCACAUGCCCAUUCUCUCUAAUUCGUAGAGUGCACAAUAAUCAACCCAUGUACGCUGAUGUACACUAAAUUGUUGAUGUAUGUUUAAAACUAAGUUAAGUCUUCACAUGGAUACAAUUGCAAAAACAUAUAUCAACAAGACAAAAAUGAUAUUGUUAUGCACAUGCUAACAUUGAGUACUAAAAUGUACUUUGCUAUUUUCAACCUAAUGCACUAUUUGUUGGGCAUCAGUGAGGAGAAACGUAGGCAAAGGCAUGAAUUGAUACCAACAACUAGGUAGGUAUUUUUUUUGUCUAAUAAAUUGGACACAACUUCAGUACACUUAUAACACCGUAUCACCUUCAUGUUUUUUGCACAACACCACUUAUCAUGUUGUUUCAAAUAUGACCUCGUGAAAGAUUUUAAAAGAUUUGCUGAUAACGUCUAAUGUAUGUAUGAUGAAUGAUUUAUUUUUUUCCGUUGCAACGCACGGACAUAUUUCUAUUACAAUAAAGCAAAUAUAGCUUCUGAUAAUAGGAUUUUUAGUAUUACAUUAGAUCUUAAAGUAUUACAAUUACAAACCACACAUAAGAGAGGGGAGACGGUUUGGAGGAUAAGUGACGACAUUGUUGAUUUGCUAUGUUAAAAUAGAGAUCAUGGACCUAAAUAAAGGGUCGUGUACAUUCUUAGAUAUGUGAUGUUUCUUUUCUCCGUUGCAACGCACAGACAUUUUUGCUAGUGAUAUGUAAAACACAUACAUGCUUUCUUGUUCACUAAUUAGUUGAAACCUUAGAUUCGCUAAAAAUGGUUGAGCGUCUCUUGCCCUCCUGCAGGAGCAUCCCCACCUAAGUAGGCCAUGGUUCACCUUGCAUCCAUGUGGAACCAGUGACUGGAUGAAGUUGCUUCUUCAUAAACUGGGAGACAAGGAUCGAUCUCUGCAAUACUUGGCAGCAUGGUUAUCUGUGGUUGGUCAGGCAGUAGGAUUGAAAAUCCCGCUUAAGCUUUAUUGCAAUUCAUAGGUUCACCCUCUUUUAAGUAGUACGUACUAUUGUCAUGUGGAUGUGCCGUCAGCAGCGAUGGUGAGUGAAAUAAGAAGUGUUCAACUCUUUUUAAAGCAAGUACAAUAGUAUAGCCAACUGCUGGCUAUAAACCAUUGUCAUAUCAUCUAUAGUUCAUCUUGUAGCCAACAUGUACAAUAGUUUAUUGUAAAAAUGCAUUAUUUUUUUAUUAUAUGACCCACUUUCAUAUUUAUAAAAUGCAUAGGAGCACGUGCUAGAGCUGGCUUUUAACUAAGAGUCCGUUUACCUUCUCUCUCUUCUUCUCUUUCCUUUAACUAAGCAAAAAUAUAUUAGUUUAUUUCUUAUAGCCAGCUGACUCAGCUCUAUUGUACUUGCUCUUAUUUUGCUUUGUAUAUGUUCAAACAUUUCUCUCGAUAACUUGACCAUUUUGCAAUGCGAUGACUAUUUUUAUUUUAUCUGUAGGAAUGGCACGGUUGCACAAACCGCGGCAUGGUUGAAGCUUUAACAUCUAGUUUUAUCCUUGGGCAUGCGAUUUUUUUGAAGGUACCUGCCUGAAAGAAUCAUGCAAACUGAGGCCUCUUUUGGUCUAUAGGAAUUCUGUCGGAAUUCUAUAUGAUAGGAUUUUCAUAGUUUUUUCUUGGAGCCCUUUGGGUUGCAGGAACGGAUUUCCUAUUCCUAUGUAGGAUAGGAACCAAUCCUUCAACGCUUAAGGGAAUAACACGUCAAGCUAAAAACCCGCUUUGGGUGGCUUCGCAACAAAGUGAUUGCGCACACACGUUUUCGGGAGAUUAGGCGUGUUUUUUUAAAAAUGAUCAUAAUCAACCGGAUGAUCUCUGUCUCUCGUAAACCCGCUUCUCCAUUCGACACGUGUCCUCGUGGGUCAGCCCACCGCAUCCAUCUAACAUUAUCCUCACUCCUUCUCCACCUUAUCCUCAAACAGUCGCGGGGCAUCUUCCUCACCAGCGUCUCUCUCCCUCUCGCCUCUCUCAUGCAGACUGAGCCGACCAUUGCUGGAGACUUGCCCCCUCCUUCUCCUCCUUCCCUAUCGUGCUAUAGGGAUGCUGCAAGCCCCGCCGCCAAAAUCCGUUGUGUUUGUGUUGCAGCGAAGCAUCAAUGGAGGGUUGCCAUGGCCGUCGGCGACGGAGGCAGCCGGUGCUACAAGGGUAGCGAGUUCAUCGGCUCGAUCGACGCGAUCUGCGGGGUCGAUCGGGCUGGCACGUCGGAGCGGCGUCCCCGUAUAUAUGGCGCAAUGUUUGUGGUCUGCGGGCAUGCAUCUCAUGUAGCAAGGGCUACGAGGUGUCUGUGUCAUGCAACGAUGCGACUGGAUGUCGGGGCGGCGGCUUCGAAGCCGGUGGCGUGUGUUUGUUGUAAUUGUGGUAUUGGACUGGAUGAUCGACGAGGCUACAUUGCGUGUGUGGUUUUUUAGCCUCGUUUUCGUGAUAAACUGAUUCAUUCUAUAAGAUUUUCGAUCCGGGUUUUUCUUAUAAACUAGAUUAAUUCUCUCUUUUUCUUACUGCAAUGCGAGAGCUCCUGGCCUAUGACGAGGUUGCGUCAAAAAAUCAAACACGCACAAACAUUUCACUCCACUUGAUUUUUAGACAAGGCGCGUGGACGGGUUUUUCACUGUUCUGACCCACUAGCGGUAAAAUAAUCACAGAACGAACUCGCCUCAAAACAAUUUCACGUUUUAAUCCUUUUUAAAAACGUCAUAAACCGUGGCAUUUCAUGUCACUUAUCAAACGCCAGUCCAAUGUGACGUUGCAGGUCACUUAUGAAACGCCAUACUAUUGUGGCGUUGCAAGCCAACAGUGAAACGCCAGACACCCUGGUGUUUCUUAAGGAGAUAACUGCCCAGCCCGACUCCGUCGCCACCAACCACCUAUUCUUCCUCCUCUUCCUUUCGAGCUUACACGAAAAGUUCUCCCUCCUCCUCCAGAUCCCCCCUUCGAUCUCCCUCCUCCCUCAACCAUUUGGUGGGUUAUUUGGGGCAAAUCGAAGAGGCUGGUAAGCUCCUCCAAUCCCUUCAAUUAGUUUUUGCAAUACCUUUGUGUUUGUGUAGCUUUUUUUGCAUUAGGUGUAACGUAUGUUUUGAAGUAAAAUAUAUUUUGUGAUGGUUAAUGCAUAGAUUUUUGGCAAUAUGUGUAGUUUUUGGUGGCUCUAGGUAUAACCUAAGUUUUGUUCAUAUUAUUUGCACUAGGUUUAUGCCUAGGUUUAGUUCAUAUUAUUUGUACUAGGUGAAUGCCUAGGUUUAGUUUAUAUUAUUGGCACAAGGUGAAUGCCUAGGUUUUGUAGGAUACCCAGUUUUGUACAUAUUAUUGACACUAGGUGAAUGCCUAGGUUUUUGGCACUAGGUGUAGUGUGAUUGUUUUAGACACUAGGUUAAUGCCUAAAAGAAUUAUGUUCAUAUUAUGUAGGAUGUUUCAGCCGGAUAGAUAUCCGGACCUUGAUGAGUUCUACGAGCAGAAGCAUCGUGCGGUGCUAGUGGAAAGAGGUGAGGUAAUUAUGAUGGCCUUGAUGAUUAUUUUUCUAUAUUCCAUGAUUUUCAUAUCGUGACAAGUUGAGAUAACUAACAAAUUAUGCGUUUGUUGGUUUAGGUUCCUCCACUACUUCGUUUGAGGGGCAUAACCUGAAUGAAUCUCUCUUAUACGACCCUCGGUACGAGCCUUAUUUUAGAAGAAUGGAUCUUCUUCAGUUUGUGCUCAACUUUAAAGGCACACCACCAUGGUUGAACGCCACGGCCCUUACCGCCCUUACGGACCGUUGGAGGCCGGAGACACACUCUUUUCACCUUCCUCUUGGUGAGAUGACCAUAACUCUGGAGGAUAUUGCUAUGAUCACCGCGCUUCCGAUCGAGGGCAGGGCUCUUACAGGGAAGGUUAGGUCCGAUGGGUGGCGCCAAUGGGUUGCAGCAUUGGUUGGUGUUGAACCCGAGCCAUGGAUUCAUGAAACCAGGAAGGAUCCUAUGCCAUCCGGUGUGUUGUUCUCUUGUCCGGCUGUUGUGGAGAGGUUCGCCAGGGCUUACCUCUGGAAUCUUUUGACCUAAAUGGUGUUUCCGGAUGGCACGGGGGACACAACCUCGUGGAUGUUUUUAUCCUCUUCGUGACUGGGAUGUUAAGUGGAGUUGGGGUUCGGCGGCACUAGCCUUCUUGUACCGUCAGGUAUGGCUUAAUAUCAUGCAUUUUCGUUUUAUUAAAUGGGUAUAUGAUGCAUUUUUAUUAUAUUAAAUGGGUAUAUGUUGCAUUUUCAUUUUAUUAAAUCUGUAGUUGGAUGGAGCAUGUAUGAGGAGCAAGCCGACGUCCACUCUUGGAGGUUUUGUUUGGGCCCUACAGGUUUGGAUGUGGGAGCGUAUCCAUGUUGGUCGUAACCUUGGCCUUCCUUCGAAAGAACCUUGGAUGUACCCGUUUGACGGAGAUGAGGAGCGGUAUCCCACUAUCGCACACACAUGGGCUAAUGUCCAAUAGACGAGUAUCGCAACUGUGGGGCGGUAUAAGGCAUACAUAAGCGAGCUAGACAUGCUGACUUAUGAACAUGUAAAUGCUUUAGCAAAUUUUCUGGAAAAUUUUCAUGGAUGGUCGAGCAACUUGUUGCUAUGUAGGUGAAUUGAAGGCCGUACACGGUACUUAGGCAGUUCCCUCUGAGCAACAUGUGCCUUCGUGACCAGCAUCUUUGACGUGUGCGGUGCCCCAUGAUAUGCUUUUUUGCGGUGGAGUGGCAUCUUCCUCAUCGUGUUUCAAAGCAGUUCGGAGUCCAACAAUGUAGCCCUCCGGAUCACGUCGAGACAAGUGUGGUGCUACAUAAGUGAGUAUUUUGUAUCACGUGUUUAUCCUGUUGAUCAAUGUCUAACACGAGAAAAUAGAACUGAUGUAGUAUUGUAAUGCUUUGUAGGACAAAUCGGCAAAACAAUAAGAGUGUCAUCAAUGGGUAGGAGCACCACAUUAUGUGGGUGGACACGUGGAAUGCUCAGAGACAUAGUCGAGUUGAAACUGAUCAAACACCCGACACUGACAAGGCGACAUAUUUAAGGCAUUUGGAGUGGAUGCGUACAGAGUACAAAGUUAUCCACAAGGGUGCGUGGACUCGUUCCGAUUGCUUGGACUUACUGCCAAGUGAGGCUGUUGAUGCUGCAUUCAACAAUUCUAUUAGGGAGACAGUUGGAGCUCAUCUUGACUAUGACCCUCUCCAUGACCGAGUGGUACGUCCCUCCUUUAAAAUAUGAACACGUGUCAUUUAUUCGUGGGUGGUAUGUCACAUAUGUUUUAUCCAUGGCACGGAGCUAUGGAGAUGUAUCAACGAUAGUAACGUGGUCCUUGGCCGUGCCCCAUGUCCACAAACGGACGGGCUUGUUAGAAGUACUCUGCAGGUUAGAUGUCUUGUUAACCGGUGUUUUAGUCUUCGUAGCUUUGUUAGCAUAUUAACAUGUCAUUUUCUUUUCCUUGCGCAGAAGGUCGUCAAUCGGCGCCGCACACUAGCCACUUUACUUUCUUGCCAUGGUGUUUCAUCCACCGAUGUAAGGGCACGUGCGCAGUAUAGAAUGGAUGUGCAGUCUUCUGCUCGUCCGUCUUCCAGCCGUCCAUGGGCUACUUCCGCUCGUCCAUCUUCGAGCCGACCACGUGCUUCUUCUAGCCGAGCACAUAUUGGCGUUUUAAGGUGAGGCAGAAAUUCCAGCCCCCUUGGCAUUUUGAGGUGAGGCAGAAACGCCUGGCGUUCGUACUUGAGGCAGCAACGCCCCAGGGCGCUGUCGUUGAGAGGUUCUGUCAAAUAUGUGACAACAGAAAAUGUACAACAUGACAAUAAUAAUUAAAUAUAUCAAACUUACGAAAAUGGUCCUUGUAGGUAUCCGAACAUUCCUCUACCACCACCCGAACCUCUACCCAUAAAACAUCCUCUACGACCAGCACUACCACGAGCACUUGAACGACCACGUCUACCACCGUCGGAUCCUCGGCCCACAACAAGGCCACCACUUGAACCACCACGUCUACCACCGCCGGAUCCUCUGCCACAGCAAGGCCACCAUGUCUACCACCGCCGGAUCCUCAGCCCACAACAAGGCCACCACUUGAACCACCUUCACCACCAGCACUUGAACCACCUCUGCCACCCACAUCACUAGUAGAUGCAUUGUGACCUUUUGAGUUUUGUUUGUUUUGCAAGUCCUCUUAUUGUGUCUCAUUUCAUUGCAAUCAUCGCAUUGGUUCCUAUCACGUGGCUCCAUAAAAUGUCCACUACCAAACUCUCUGGUGCUCAUGAGGUCAUUCAUAUCAUUCCUGUAUCGUUUUGUUCUCCUUCUACCCUUUGGUUGAACCAUCAUCUCUGGAUCUGGCGUAAUAUUAGGGCCAUGAUACUCUGGCCACUGUGAUGGGUCAAGAAAAGGGUGGAAUCUCGACGCCCAUGUUAACUUAUGAGUUUGCAAGUUGAAUUCAUGCAACCUCACAACUACACCAUCAGAGAAGGGAAAAUUCCUCAUGCGACAUGCCGUCAUCAUGUGCGGGCAUGUCCAGUGGUACUUAGUAGGCCGCUCACAAGUGCAAUACCGCGUCCGAAGGGACACCGUAAAUGAGCGACCACCAUAUGAUUGCCCAUCUCUCGUUGUACGCCUGGCUCAUCCACUUGGUAUUUCAUUUCAGCAUUAUCGAAACAAGUGGUUCGCUGCAUGGCUGACUUCUCUUUUUGAAACUCUAGCCACUCGACAACCUUCUUCGGAUAGAUCUCAUUAGGAGGCUUCUCACUCUCACCAAUCAACUUGUCGAUUUCUUUGAAGUGCUUCAAAAAAUACUCAUUGAGCUUGUAAAAGGUAUAUUCAGCUAUUGCCGUCACCGGCAACUGACGUGCCCCCUUCAAGACAAAGUUGAAGCACUCAACAAGAUUGCUUGGCAUGUCGCCAUAUCUCAUGCCUCCUUCGUCACAUGCCCGUGACCACUUAUGUCUCUCAUCUAUAUUCCUUUCUAGGAAUUCUUUCCCACCUUCAUUUGCCUUCUCAUAGAUUAUGUUCAAUCAUUUCGUGAACGACUCAGCGGAGAAGGCUACACAUGCGGAGUUAAGAUCGUUCGCCAGAUCCUUGUUCUUACAAGCCCUGUAAAAGUUUGCAACGAAGUGCCUCAUGCACCAUCAAUGGUGAAGCCUCGCAUGCCCUGGCAUGUGAACAUCAACGCCCUUCAAUAUGCCUUGGUGCCGAUCGGAUAUGAUGCAUACCUCCCUAUCGGGAGGAAUGACCGUGCUUCUCACAAGUCUCAUGAACCAUUCCCAGUUGUCAUGGUUCUCCACUGACACCAAAGCAAAUGCCACAGGCAACACCUAAUCAUUAGCAUCAUGUGCCAUUGCUAUCAUUAGUGCGCCCUUGUAUUUGCCUGUCAAGAAAAGGGUGAUUUUUGUAUACCACUCCGCUUCUUUCUCAGUGAAGCCAUCCUCAUCCAACUCAUUCACCGAGCCUUCAUCAUCUGACUCAUCCACACAAGCACGCUGAUACACAAUGUCAGGAUCCAUGUCAUUAUGCCUUACUUGAGCCUAUACGUCACCAACAAUGUUGUGGUGCCUCUCAUACUCUUCGUUGGAGUCAUGACCAUCAUCUUUGAUUGGUGCACUACCUCCGAACUCAUAUUGGGGAUACUCAUUGGCUUCCACUUCAACUUUAUGCUCAACAAUAGGCGCCACACCACUAUACGGGCUCACAUCAUCUACUAAGGGUUGGUUCAAGUCAACAUGAAAAAGAGGAGCAUUGACCAUCAUACUAGCAAACACUUCGAGUGACUUGACUAUCGAGGAUGCAACAGCCUCCUUGUAUGCAACCCAAUGCAAAUUUGACUUGAUAGACAUUGUCUUCAUUCGACAAUUGUGUGCUGACCCAACAUCAUAUCUUCCUAAUAAUUCUACUUGGUCAUUUGGAUCAACCCACUUCAAUCUUAUCUGAGUUUCUGCCACAACCUCUUCAUAAAUAGGACUACUAAGAAAUGUCAACACUUCCUCAUAUUUGUCAACAAUAUCAACAUUCUUGAAUGUCUCUUUGUCAACAUAAUGAAUAUUCACAAUCUUGUUCAUCUAAAAAAGGGAACAAAAUUACCAAUGCUAAGUAUAACACAUUCCUAACAAAACAACUAACAAAACAUUACCCAAAACCUAACCCUAACCCUUGUCCAUCCAAAUUAGGCAUAACCCAAACCCUAACCCUAACCCGGCCCUAACAGUAAAUCUUAUCAAUAAUCAUAAACCAACCAAUACAAUGCAACAUAAAUGGAACAACUAUACUCAUUAGUAGAUAAACAAAGAACAUCUAUACUAAUUAUUGCAAAAACUAUACUCAUUAUUAGGGCUACAACAAAUGAGGAAAAAACCAUCCAAAUAGACAAUUCCAACCAAUAAAAAAUGGGAAGAUGAAGGAGGUUACCUCAAGCAAUGCAAAUGAUACCGGAUCCACGGACCAAAGCAAUCCUUUUGAAAGGAUUUAAGAGGGGAGAAAUGGGGGAAAAGUGGCUACUGCUCGGGGAUGAAGGGUGAGAGUAGUGGAAGAAGAGAGUGAGUGGAGGGUGGCCCCAUAAUAAAUAGGCAAGUAGAAACGCCAUAGCUGUUGGCGUUGCCGUUCUUGACAGAAACGCCACACUAGCAUGGGGUUGUAGGGAAAUGAAAAUGCCAGAACAGAUUGGCGUUUUGGUGAUGGUAAGAAACGUCACAUUUGAGUGGCGUUUGAUAAUAGAACUGCAACGCCACGGCUUAUAACGUCUCAAAAAGAUUAAACUGUAAAAUCUUUUCAAACCGGAUUUAUUUUAUGCACAAUUUUAAAUAAUAGGUUAGAAAAGUGAAAAAAUCCGUCGCACUCCCUCUGGGAACAGGUGAGGAUUCACCGCUCGUCUUGUCCGCUAGCUUUUGCCGGCCACGCGUCUUUGCCCGGAUCAGAACGCCUGCAGGCUUGCACGCAGGCAGCAUGGCAUGGCAUGGCAUAACACAAUGCACAACAGCUCAGCGCUACACGUUCUUCCAUCGAAUCGUUCGUGCGUGUGUCGUCUCGGUCGCCGUCGCGCGCCAGUCCAACAUACUAUACCAGGCCACAGCUUUCUUUCAGAGGCAUGUGAACGCGACCGGUUUUUCCAGGCCGCCAAAAAUCCACAGGCCCGGGCCGGGCAAAGAAAACCUGUCCCCGCGGCGCUAGCGGUUGGCCGGCCGGCGGAGUAGCAGUAAUAAUAAUAAUAAGACGCUGACACACGAGGCCAUCCAACAACGCGCGUUCCGUGCUGGUGCUGCGCAGCGAGUUUGAAAGCCCGGAAUCGGAGAGCCCAAAAAGUCUCUGCCCCGGGGGCCCAGGGCCUGCAUGCACUUGCAGCAUUCGCAGAUGGCAUUUGACACUUGCCGCCGACCUCCUCCUCCUCCCCCAACCAACACCGGCACGCAACUAAAUGCCGGCAUCAAUGGCAGAAGCCAGAGCUCCCCAGUUACUACGGCACACCAAUCACCCGCCAAGCUCACCCCCCACCCCCUGGGCAGAACAGGCCACGCAUUGCAUGCGGUAAAAAGGUGAUAGAAACGACGCCGAGAGAGAGAGAGAGGAUAGAGAGCGAGAGAGCGUGGCAACUGGCGGCAACGGCAGAGCCGAGCCGAGCAGCGCGGCGUACGUGGCGUGAGAGCAUUCAUUCCGGCACCGGCUCGCGGCGGGCGGGGGGCGGGAGAACAUCCGUCCAUCCAGCGGCUUAAUUAAAUGACACCGUCACGAAACGACACGAUACAUCAACAAAAAAUUACAAUUCAAUGAAACGAGAUGAUGGCUUUGUAGCAGUAGUAAUAGUGGUACGGCGGGACGGGAUUAAGCGGGCACCGGAGGGGAGCAUGGUCGUAUGUAUGCGCCAUGGCCAUGCGGCGUGUCGCAAGCUGGCGUACACGAACACAGUGUAGCGUUGCGUUGGCCUGGCAAAAGGCUUUAAUAGAUGGAGAGAGCAAACGGGGCUACGCGUCGGGUAGUACGCAGCCGCUGCACUACCGCCCCUUUGCUCGGCGCCAAGAACAGUGGCGACGCGCUGCUCGCUUUGGUAGAUUCUCCCUCCCGGCCAGCCAGCGCCAUUGUUUCCUUGCGGCUAGCGCGCGCUCUCUCUCUCUUUCUCUCGCUCUCGCCAGCUAGCUGGUUCCCACCGCCGCGCUCGCUCGCCGGGUGAUAGGCUCGUGAGGAAAGCGAGCUGGCUCACGGGUUCCAUUCCGUGAUGGAUCGGUGCCGGAGGCGGCAAUGGGGCGUCGCUUGCUCCGCGCUGCUCCUGUCGGCGCUGCUCGCGGCCGCCUCCGCGCAGUCGCCGUCACCGGCGCGGGCGCCCAACCCGGCACCGAUCCAUCACGGAAUGGAACCCGUGAGCCAGCUCGCUUUCCUCACGAGCCUAUCACCCGGCGAGCGAGCGCGGCGGUGGGAACCAGCUAGCUGGCGAGAGCGAGAGAAAGAGAGAGAGAGCGCGCGCUAGCCGCAAGGAAACAAUGGCGCUGGCUGGCCGGGAGGGAGAAUCUACCAAAGCGAGCAGCGCGUCGCCACUGUUCUUGGCGCCGAGCAAAGGGGCGGUAGUGCAGCGGCUGCGUACUACCCGACGCGUAGCCCCGUUUGCUCUCUCCAUCUAUUAAAGCCUUUUGCCAGNNNNNNCGUCUCCAGCCGCACCCGCGGCGUCACCGGUUCCAAGGCCGCCCACUCCACGUGCGCCGGCGCAGGCCCCACCACCACCAGCGUCACCUCCACCCCCGGCGCCAACGGCACCAAAGCCUUCACCUCCAUCCCCGGCCCCAGCGGGACCAAAGCCUUCACCUGUGGCCCCGGCGCCGGCUCAGAAGCCGUCUCCUCCCACGACGACUACACGCCACAAAAACCGUCUGCACCUCCGACUCCACCACCGGCUCCGACGCAGCCUCCGGCGAACCCUUCCCCGUCAACGCCCUCAUUGGCUCUGUCGCCCAGCUUCUACGCCGCCUCCUGCCCGAGCGUGGAGCUGGCGGUGAGCGAUGUCGUCAGGUCGGCCUCCACCUUGGACUCCAGCAUCCCCGGCAAGCUUCUCAGGAUGGUCUUCCAUGACUGCUUCGUAGAGGUAUGGAUUGGCAAUAAUACUGUAAUAUAUUUUUUACUCGUCUUGCAUUUGGGCGAUGUGUUUUACUAGCACUGCAGCCAUGCAUUGGAGUUCAGUACAUGCAAACAAAUGCAUUGCUCGUAUUCUUGUUUUGAUGUAAUUUCACAUGUCCAUGUUCUAGAUCUAGGCCUCAAUCAAUCGAGUUGGUCUUCCAGAAAAUCAUCAUGUGUGUGAUGUCAUUGGGGCAUUGCCUCGUCAGUUCUUACUAUCUCGAGCAAUUGUGAUAUUUGGCAUGACAAUGAUCUUUCACCCUUUUAGUAAGAGAAUUUGCUUCCCCCCUUCCCAUAGUGGCCAAAGUGAAUGGUUAUCUCAUACCUGCUGCGUCCUUUAGUUAGUAAUAACACAUAAUGCAUGUUCAAAACAUUCAUUCAUCGGAAUGGUCUAGGCUACUUUUGCUAAUUUGAGCUAGGUAGGUGCAUUAUUCAGACCCAAAACAUGAGCUAUCAUACGUGUCUAAUGGUCGCCAAUACAUCACCAGUCUUUGGCAUCUUGCAUAUGUGCAACGGCCAGCAUUUUACAGACAUGUUUCUGAAAGCUUACAUGACAUAUGCACCACGAGUUUCAACUUCCCUAACCCUUUUCAUCUCAGGGAUGCGACGCUUCGGUGCUGAUCCAAGGCAACGGCACGGAGAGGACCGACCCGGCGAACCUCUCGCUGGGCGGGUUCAACGUCAUCGACGAGGCCAAGAGGCUGCUCGAAGCCGUGUGCCCGGCAACCGUUUCCUGCAGCGACAUCAUAGUUCUUGCUGCAAGAGACGCCGUCACAUUUGUAAGUAGCAUUGCAACCCCACCCAAACCCCAUUGCACCCGUUAACUUUGCUCUUUGCUGCAGCAUAAGCUUUCCCUUGCUACAAUUCUCACAAAGCAUGAUUUUCCUGUUUGGUUUGGCAUAUGGCCCCUCUGAGCAGUAGUACUUGGUGGCGAGCAUAGGACAUCAUAAACUCCGCACUGAAUGCCGCACGGAUUAGAUCGUGUAGCGUACGGUGGAUCGAGUGGUCCUGGUCCCGUACGUUGCAAUGGCUGGUUGAAACAUAGGAUUAGCUGGUCUGCCUAAUGAAUACUCUACAUACCGAGACCCUGGACAGCUUAGUGAACAUAAUCCCAGCUUAUGACUGGGACCUGACCGUUUAUGUGUGCAUGAUCAGUAUGGAACAUGGUUGAUGGUCUCAGUUAAGGGUGAAACUUCACAACAGUUUGUGCUCUGAAAAUUUACUCUGGAUGACUGCAUCUGCUAAUAUCAGGCCAAGAGAGUUGGCAGUAACAUCUACAUUCACCUAUAGCCUCACUUUCGUAUAUACUACUCCCUCCGUUCCUAAAUAUAAGUCUUUCUAGAGGUUUCACUAAUAAAUUACAUACAGGAUGUAUAUAGACAUAUUUUAGAGUAUUGACGACAUAUUUUAGAGUAUUGAUUCAUUCAUUUUGCUCAGUAUGUAGACUUUUAGUGAAAUCUUUUAAAAGACUUAUAUUUAGGAACGGAGGGUGUAGUAAAUAACCAUUUCUGCAUGUGCAUGGUCACUUGAUCAGCAUAGCACAUGAUAGAUGGUCCCGAUUAACGGUGAUCAUGGCAAAAUGGAAAUGGACAUAAAUGGAAUUCUGAAACUUCAGAACAUAUGUACUCUCAAAAUUUACUCUGCAGUUGCUGGCAUCAACCAUUCACCUAUAGCUUCACUUUGACGCAUGAGCAACUUGUACUAAUUAGUAGCAUGUUUCCUUCUCUUGCUUUUGCAAAGACUAAUCUAAUCUUGGCUCUUGGCUAAAACAGUAGCCCGGCUUGAUUUUUUUUUCCUGAGGAGGAGCAACUUAGCUGACAAACAAACAGGCAAACCAACUGAACUGAUGCUCAAUUUUGUGUUGUUCCAAACCAGACCGGAGGGCCGUCGGUGCCCGUCUCCCUCGGCCGACGCGACAGCCUCGUGUCCCUGGCGUCCAACGUGAGAGCAAACAUCAUCGACACCGGCUUCUCCGUCGACGCGAUGGCGGCGAGCUUCGCCUCCAAGGGGCUCUCCCUGGACGACCUCGUCACCCUCUCAGGUAUACAUACAAAUACAAGCUCUCCCCAGCAAACAUCACUUGCCUAUGCAUCGGCAGCUUCAUUCAUCGAUCUGACAGACGGCGGGUGUCGCAGGCGGGCACACGAUCGGGUCGGCGCACUGCGGCACGUUCCGGGAGCGGUUCCGGGCGGACGCGAACGGGAGCAUGGUGCCGGUGGACAGCACGAUGAACGCCGAGUACGCGACGGAGCUGAUGCGCGCGUGCGCGGCGUCGGGGAGCGCGGCGGUGGGCUGCGACGACGGGUCGGCGGAGGCGUUCGACAACCGCUACUUCAGCAACCUGCUGGACAGGCGCGGGCUACUGCGCACGGACGCGGUGCUGGUGCAGAACGCGACGACACGGGCCAGGGUGGCGGCGUUCGCGCAGAGCCAGGACAGCUUCUUCGGCAGCUGGGCCGGCUCCUUCGCCAGGCUCACCACCCUCGGCGUCAAGACCGGCUCCGACGGCGAGGUCCGGCGGCUCUGCUCCAGCGUCAACGGCUGAACCGAUCGCCCAUGGGCAUGUGCAUGGGCAUGUAACGUAACACGGGAUACAUAGGGCCAUAGGGGGAGGUCGUCGAAUGUACUGCUGUUGUUAAGUAGCGAGCUGAGCUGAGGAUGAGGUUGAUUCGUUUGUUCUUGUUGUUGUAGCUGAUGACCAGGCUUUCUUUGCUUAGGCUGCGUUUUAUCUGCAACCAAAUACCAACCAAAUCGAACACAAUGAACUAGUAAUACUUCGUUUUGGGACAUGAUUUUGUUACUAUCAAACUCCAUGCAGAAACUCGUCGUUUGGCAGUAAUGGCGGCCAGUGUUCGUACGACGAACUGGAGAGGCACUGACGGAGUGCACAUGGGCGUGCGAACAGUACCCACGGACUGACAGGCCACGCUCCGAGCUUUGAAAGCCGUCGACGGGACGUGUCCUGCCUGCCUCAUAUGUCGCCGAUGGGCCCCUUCCAGCAUGGUCAGACUACAUAAUUGAGCCCAGUUUGGGCUCUGUGCUUGAGUAAGUAGUAGUGCUACACAGCAGGAUGCAGCUACGUGGGCCGCCAGCAGAGAUGGGCGGGGACGGCUAGAAAGAAAGAGUAGAGAGGAGGGAAGAAGGAUCCAGCAGCGGCGGCCUAGAUCGAAUGGGCCUUGCCUACCUUCGUUUUGGAAAGGUUGGUGCAGCUGGACUGCCACCAUUGGCUAAACAAGAAAAUGGACUGCUAUAUAAGCGCAAGAUGUAACUUAUUCGAUUUCAAUUUUCUUUAACACAGUAUAGAUGCAAACACUCAUAUAUAUAUAGCAUAUACUCACUUUUAUAAACAUACACACGCACAUCUAUACUUGGCCACGAGGUAUCAACCGGCCCGACCCGGUCGGUGGUGCCCGUGGGUUGGGCAUGUGCCUUGGUUUUAAGCCUGAAGGUCGGGUUGUGUGAAAUAAAUGGUAUGGCACGACCUCUUUUUGCUCCAUAAACGAUUUUGAAAAAGGAAGAAGGCUUUAGCUCCCUUCCAUUGCCUUGGGUUGAAGAUCAAGCGUGAACUUCUCCCUCAUAUUCAUGAUUAAAUAAAGAGGCCCGAGGCCCGAUGGGCUUUUAUGUCGCUGGGUGGGUCUUGGACCUAAUUUCUAGGCCCGAUGCCCGAGUCGGGCCGGGAUCGGGUCCGACUUUUCUGCUUCAGACUUGGUUAGGCUUGGCUUGAAGCCCGGCCCGACUCGAAGAAUGCUCAGGUAUGCGCACACUCAACCCCGUGAGCAUCUUCAAAAGACUGACUCGGUAUAUCAUCUUGUAAUUUAUGAAAUCACCGUAGGCGUCUCGUUGUCGACGAGAACGUCUCCUCCCACUAAAUGCGCAUUAUAAAAAAUCUUCAAGCAAAUCCAAAAGUAAUGCGAGCAUCGAGAUUUGAACCGUGAUGAGCUGGGAUACCAUUGUCACUCUAACCAUCCAACCACAGAUUGGUUCAAAUAGAAUGGAAUUACCCUAUUUUUUUCAUUGCUAUCAUAACAAGAACAAAGAUGUCCAUAAUAAUGAGAACUAAAAAGUUUGAAAAGAUGAAAACAAUUCGUCACGAAAGGAAAACGUUAUCCAACUCCAAUAUUGGUGUCAGAAUAUGGGACGAAAAGAAGCUAGUCAGCGCCACCCGAGCCCUCCUACCUCCCUUCCUCCCCUAAACAUCGUUGGAUGAUGCCGUCGGGCAAAGCCCGAGAAACCGGCAACAUCGGCGACACAUUUCCCUCGUGUUGCACUGCAUUUCCCCGGUUGAGGGAUGCAUCGUAUCAUAAUGUUUAGUAACAAUGGUGUUCUCGUCUCGCUUCCCUAUGUGGGGUGUUGUCCUCAAGACUUUUCCCACUCGACACCUGUUAGAGCAUAUCUCUCCAUAUGUGGUUUUGGUAAUUGAUGACAAUUCCCAUGGACUAAUGGUUGCCUUAAGUUAUAUUUAUAGGAUUUGUGCAUAGGAACUUCUUGAAGUCCAUCUGUUGGGUUAUAAGAGUUUAUAUGAUGACCAAGAUGGUAUUCAAGGUAUUUUCCAAAGAAUGGUCAUAGAGACACAAGGUUGAUCAAGAUCGUCAGACAAAGAGUAAAUCAAGAUGAUCAACAUACAAAGCGUACAAGAUGUACCGAGAGGGAUCAAGUAAUCCCAUGGUAUGGUAAGCAUUGUCCAUUACGUGUUUGUGUACAAACCCAUGGUCUUCGUGAGAGUUCUAUGUGGGGGUUAGGUGUGUUACCAUGGGCUUGCAUCAAAAGUAAGAUCUCAUACAACCCAUGAAGGAUGACAUCAAGUGGUGAUCGUCAUCAAGAUUGUGGUGUGCAAGUUCAAGUGGAUCAGCACGAAUAUAUCAUGCUUGAUGCUUGCCGUCCAUUUUGGUGGCAAUGAACUUGUGAAGAUAUGCUGAAGAGUGGCUCACACAUAGUGAGUAUGGGGGAGCAAUCAACUAGUCUUCAUCAAGCGAACGCAAUCAAGAAAGGUGGUCCAUCUCGAGGAAGCCAAGAUCAUCAUCGUCUAGCUCAAGAGGACGAGGUGCAAGCUAUAGGUUUGCCCUUGAUAGGUUUUCUGUUUUAGGAUAGAUUGUUGUACUGUCAAGGGGGGCUCUCUAUUGGAAAUAUGCCCUAGAGGCAAUAAUAAAUUAGUUAUUAUUAUAUUUCUUUGUUCAUGAUAAUAGUUUAUUAUCCAUGCUAUAAUUGUAUUGAUUGGAAACACAAUACUUGUGUGGAUACAUAGACAAAACACUGUCCCUAGUAAGCCUCUAGUUGACUAGCUCGUUGAUCAAAGAUGGCCAAGGUUUCCUGGCCAUAGGCAAGUGUUGUUACUUGAUAACGGGAUCACAUCAUUAGGAGAAUCAUGUGAUGGACUAGACCCAAACUAAUAGACGUAGCAUGUUGAUCGUGUCAUUUUGUUGCUACUGUUUUCCGCGUGUCAAGUAUUUGUUCCUAUGACCAUGAGAUCAUAUAACUCACUGACAUCGGAGGAAUGCUUUGUGUGUAUCAAACGUCGCAACGUAACUGGGUGACUAUAAAGAUGCUCUACAGGUAUCUCCGAAGGUGUUAGUUGAGUUAGUAUGGAUCGAGACUGGGAUUUGUCACUCCGUGUGACGGAGAGGUAUCUCGGGGCCCACUCGGUAAUACAACAUCACACACAAGCCUUGCAAGCAAUGUGACUUAGUGUAAGUUGCGGGAUCUUGUAUUACGGAACGAGUAAAGAGACUUGCGAGUAAACGAGAUUGAAAUAGGUAUGCGGAUACUGACGAUCGAAUCUCGGGCAAGUAACAUACCGAAGGACAAAGGGAAUGACAUACGGGAUUAUAUGAAUCCUUGGCACUGAGGUUCAAACGAUAAGAUCUUCGUAGAAUAUGUAGGAUCCAAUAUGGGCAUCCAGGUCCCGCUAUUGGAUAUUGACCGAGGAGUCUCUCGGGUCAUGUCUACAUAGUUCUCGAACCCGCAGGGUCUGCACACUUAAGGUUCGACAUUGUUUUAUGCGUAUUUGAGUUAUAUGGUUGGUUACCGAAAGUUGUUCGGAGUCCCGGAUGAUAUCCAGGACGUCACGAGGAGCUCUGGAAUGGUCCGGAGGUAAAGAUUGAUAUAUAGGAAGUCCUGUUUUGGUCACCGGAAAAGUUUCGGGCUCAUCGGUAGUGUACUGGGAGUGCCGGGAGGGGUGCCGGGGACCAUGGGGAGGGGUGUCACGCCCCAAGGGGUCUCAUGGGCUAUGGGAAGAGAUAAACCAGCCCCUAGUGGGCUGGAAUAAGUUCCCACUAAGGCCCAUAAGCUUUGAGAAGGAAAAAACACAAGGUGGAAAGAGUUUCCAAGUGGGAAGGUGGAAUCCUACUCCAAGUAGGAUUGGAGUAGGACUCCUCCACCUCCAAUUUCGGCCAAACCUUGAGGGUUUGAGGCUGCCUCUUCCCUGCCCUCCCUCCUAUAUAUACGGAGGUAUUAGGGCUAAUUUGAGACAACUUUGCCACGGCAGCCCGACCACAUACCUCCACGGUUUUUCCUCUAGAUCGCGUUUCUGCGGAGCUCGGGCGGAGCCCUGCUGAGAUUAGAUCACCACCAACCUCCGGAGCGCCGUCACGCUGCUGGAGAACUCAUCUACCUCUCCGUCUCUCUUGCUGGAUCAAGAAGGCCGAGAUCAUCGUCGAGUUGUACGUGUGCUGAACGCGGAGGUGCCAUCCGUUCGGCACUAGAACGUGGGACGGAUCGCGGGACGGUUCGCGGGGCGGAUCGAGGGACGUGAGGACGUUCCACUACAUCAACCGCGUUCACUAACGAUUUUGCUGUGCGAUCUACAAGGGUACGUAGAUCGGAAAUCCCCUCUCGUAGAUGGACAUCACCAUGAUAGGUCUUCGUGCGCGUAGGAAAAUUUUUGUUUCCCAUGCGACGUUCCCCAACACUCUCAAGUGGGUAGCUUGAUCGUAUCGUUCGUUGAGAGCUCAAACCAUUUACAUCCUUGCAUCAUACUUCUUGGUUCUUGUUUGGUGUUUCUCUUUGUGAGUUUGAGAGCUUAUGGUCAUGUUCAUUAAAACUCGAGUUCAUCGAAAACGGAGUCCAUAUGCAUCUUCUAUGAUGUUUUUGAUGUUGGGAGUUUUUACCGGUCUUAUUCGAAGAAGGGUUCUCACCAUUUUCUUAUGGGACUUUUCUCACUUUCUUCUUAUUUAUAUUUCUAUGAAUAUUGUGUUAGCCCAUGUCGUUAGCUUUCCAACAAACUUGGUUUCGUUGAAAUCGGAGUUCGUAUGCGAAAGUUAGAGCAGAUUCAGUAUCCAGCGGUAGUACCGCUCCGGGUGCGAGCGGUAGUACCGCUCGUGUAGCGGUGGUACCGCCCCCGGAGCUGUAGUACCGCCCUCAGAGUGUUAGUAAUUUCUUACCACCGCCCCUAGCGGUAGUACCGCUCCGGAUGGGUGGUAAUACCGCUUCGGGACGGUAGUACCUCUCUAUGAGCGGUUGUUCUUUGUCGGACUUUUUGCGAAGACUUUCUCUAGAGGUAGUACCGCCAAGGUCUAGCGGUAGUACCGCCGGGGGCUAGCGGUAGUACCGCUGUGCUCGGGGUGUAAGUAGGGGUAACGGUCUGAUUUCUUCCCUUGUUAUAUAAAUGGGGUCUUCUUUCGCCUUGGACUUAUCUAUCCGUUGAGCUCAUGUUCUACCCCCAUUGUUGACCUUCUUAGAGUUUGCUUACUCUCAAUCCCUCCAAUGAUUCUUGCUUGUUCUUGAGGGAAAAGAGAGAGGAGAUCUAGAUCCACAUCUCCACCAAUCACUUUCUCCUCUAUGUGAGGGGAACCCCUUGGAUCUAGAUCUUGGAGUUCUUUGUGAGCUCCUUGUUCUUCCUCUUAUAUUUCUACAUAGAUUUUGUUGUUUUGGAGGGAUUUGAAUGUGGGGGACUUGUACACUUCGUGUGUUCUUGCCAUUGCAUUAAUUGCAUCGGUUUGAGUUCUUCAUGGUGAUACGUGGAAGUGAAGUUUGAGAAGCUUAUUACCUUUGGUACUUCGUACCCUAGAUAUUGUUCUUCGUGGAUGCUUUGGCGUCCUAGAAGCUUGGUAGUGUGUCAGAGCUCAAUCAUUGUGGUGUAAAGCUCCGGGCAAGCAUCGGGGUCUCCAAUUAGGUUGUGGAGAUUACCGCGAGCAAUUUGUACGGGUACCGGUGACCGCCCCCAGGGUUUGCCAUUUGUACGGGUUCGAUGACCGCCCUCAAGGGUCCCUUAGUGGAACCACGACAUCUUGCAUUGUGCGAGGGAGUGAGGAGAUUACGGUGGCCUUAGUGGCAUCUUGGGGAGCAUUGUGCCUCCACACCGCUCCAACGGAGAUUAGCAUCCGCAAGGGUGUGAACUUCGGGAUACAUCAUCGUCUCCGCAUGCCUCGGUUAUCUCUUACCCGAACCCUUUACUUAUGCACUUUACUUUGUGAUAGCCAUAUUGUUUCUUGUCAUAUAUCUUGCUAUCACUUAGUUGUUUAUCUUGCUUAGCAUAAGUUGUUGGUGUACAUAGGUGAGCCUAGUUGUUUUAGGUUUUGUGCUUGACAUAUUAAACAUUAGUUUUAUUCCGCAUUUGUUCAAGCCUAAAUCGUAAUUAUUUUAAAGCGCCUAUUCACCCCUCCCUCUAGGUGACAUCCACGUCCUUUCAAUUGGUAUCAGAGCUAGGUCUCUCUUUAUUAGGUUUAACCACCUAGAGAGUAAGGAUGUCGACUAGGGGUUUAGGAUUCACUGACACUCUUAGUUUCGAUGGCACAAAUUUUGAUGUUUGGGUAAUUCGCAUGCUUAAUCACUUUCGGGUCUUGGGCCCAAAUUUAGAGCGAAUUGUAGAUAUGGUUUUUUAUUCUCCAAAGGAUUCUCAAAAUAUAUCUUUAGAGGAUGAGAAAAACUAUUAUCUCGAUGCUCAAGCUUCUAAUGUGCUUUUUGAUGCUUUGAGCAAUGUAGUUAUAUUUCGACUCAUGCCAUUCCGGGAUACUCAUGAGUUGUGGACAAAGCUUCAAGAUAAAUAUGGUACGUCCAAGAUUUGUGGGAAUGAUUGUUCUCCCUCCACCUCCGGUCGUGUGGUCUUCUCAAAUUCAUCUACUUCACCUACAUGUGGAUUGCCACAAGGUAAUGAUAUGGUGAGUAGUGGUGAUCAUUGCAAUGAUGAUAGUGGGUUUAUUGUUGAUGAUUCUUCAUCACUAUAUUAUUGCAAUGCUUCAUCUUUGGGCAUUAACACUUAGAGCACUCUAAAUGUUUUACAUGCUUGUGUUGAUAGUCCUUGCAUAUCAUGUAAAAACUGCUUGACUAAAUCUCAUGAUGAUAUGCUUCCUAUAUCUUGUUGCCAUGAUAAAAAUGUAUAUAUUUCCUCGCGUUGUUGUGAUAAAAAUGUAGAGGAAAUUCAUCACUCCAUGGAACAAGAUGUGGCCUUGAAUGUUGCUUCAAGGGAUCCUACAUCAUCAUCUAUUGUUACUCACUUUUGCCUUAUGGCAAAGGCUUCAAAGGUAUCUCCUACUUUGAAUCCCAAUGUAUCUCAUGAUGAUGGUGUUGAUGAUAAUGAGGAUGAGAAUAAUGAUGAAGAGAGUGAUAUUAUUGCAUCCUUAAAAAUUAAAGGGUGAAAUGAUUUUUAAAUCUCUUUAUAAGAAUAAACUUGCUUGUUCCAACUUCUUGGAAAUCAUGUCUAUUGCCAGUGAGGGCAAGAAAUACAUUAAGGAGUUGGAAGCUCAUCUUGAGGAGCAUGAGGCCACCAUUGAGACAAUGCAAGGUCAUGAGCGUGAUUACGCUAACGAGAUUGCGGAGCUAUCUCAAGCUCUUGAAAAUGAACAAACCCCCAAGGAAUCUAUUGAGGAUACCUUUGCUAUAGAAUUAUCUAGAUUAAAGGAAUCCCACGAUAGAGCUCUCGAGGUGGCUAAUGAUUUUAGAACUAAAAACGAUAAGCUUGAAGUUGCACAUGCUAAACUCGUUGAGUACUAUGAGCACCUCGAAAAUGGCUCAAGGGCUAUUAAGAGUUCGCUCAUCGAACUCACCGAGUCUCAUGCUCAACUUGAAGCUUCAUAUGCUAAAGAGCUUGCCAAGUUGCUUUCUCCUCUUAUUGUUAAUAAUGAUGCUUGUGCUACUAACUCUACUUGUUGUGAAGCAUCCAUUUUAAAGGAGAAUGUUGAGCUAAGGGCUCAACUUGAGUUGCUAUCUAGCAAUUAUGGGAAAUUGGAAGAAAGUCAUGUAAUGCUCACAAGCUCUCAUGAUGAUCUUCUAGCAUCCCAUAAUGUGCUAAAAUUAGAUCAUGAGGCUAUUACUACCAAGGUAACAUCGAGUGAGCCUCAUGUGGACAUUAAUACUACUUCUAGUCAAAAAGCUAUAUUGCCAUGUGCUAGUCCUCGUAAUUCAUCUACUCAUAAUGUUUCUACAUCUUGCGAUGAAUUACUUUCGAUGCCUUGUUGCUCUAACAAUGAAGCUUAUACUUCCUCUAGUACUUGUGUUGAUACUAACCAUGUAGAGGAAAUCAAAGAGCUCAAGGCCCAAGUCACUUCCUUGAAGAAAGACUUGAAAAAGAGUCAUGAAGGAAUGUCCACACUCAACAAUGUCUUGUGUGGGAAAAAAUCCCCAAAUGACAAAGAUGGACUUGGAUUUAACUCCAACAAGAAGAAUAAGUCCAAAAGCUUCAAGAAGAAGGACCGAGAACAAUUCAAGAAUUCGGCCAAGAUUAUUUGCUUCAAGUGCAAAAUUGAAGGGCACCAUGUUAGAUCUUGCCCACUAAAGAAGAAGCCCCAAAGUCACAAGCAAUAAGGGAAGCGGCCACAAGUUCAAUCACAUACUCAACUACAAGUUGAAUAAAGGCCCCUUCCCAAGAAGACCCAAGCCAAUACUCCUCAUGUUGAUAAAUCAAUAGGGAAGAAAUUAAAGGGUAGAUGUUGGUACUUAUGUCGUGAGAAGGGUCACUUCGCUUCUUCUUGCACGAGAGGUAAUUUAUCCAACCCAAUCAUUAUUAAUGAUAUCUAUUCUCAUGGGAAGGAUAAGGUUGGCAAUGUGUUUGCCAAGUUUGUUGGUACUCAAAGUGGUGUCAAGAAAAGUAUCAUUUGGGUUGCCAAGCCUGUUGUGACUAACCUCUUAGGACCCAACGUGGUUGGGGACCAACAAGCUCAAACUUGAUCAAUAGGUGAAUGUGGAGGACAUUGGAGACUUUGAUACAUAAUGAAGAAUUAAGGGGUCUUCAUCAUUCAUAUUAUCUCAAGCCAAGUCAUUUGGAUUAUCGAGUUUCUAUCUUAUAUCCAAUGUGCCUCCUUACGGUAACUUGUACUUAAACUGUUUACAUUGUUAGUUACUUGCCCCUUUGCAUGUUGUGGUUUUGUACCUUGCAUGUGUUUGUAUAUGUUGUGCUUUCAACUUGCUUAUCUUGAGUAAUCGAGUAUGUGUAUGUUGGUUUUCACAUCAUGUACAUGUGAGUCUUGUAUUGAGCAUUUUUGCAUCUUGUUUGUAUCUUUGUUGGCUCUUGUGAGAGAUUAAUGGAUUAUUCCAUUAUGGGGGAGUGAUGUGCUUUGCACACCUCACAAUACUAUAAAUGUGUAUACAUGGGGAAUAUCACUUAGUAUUGAUAUUUCAAGAUUAUCUAGUUUCUAUGUGGUAUGUCUUACUCAUGAGAAAUUCAAAUUCUAUAUGGUCCAUUAAUUAUGUCUUGUUGGUUUUAAUUUGCCACUUGUUAAUAUUGUUGGAUUAUCACAUUAUGGGCGACUAAUAUGCUAUGUGCAUAUUACAAGCCUAGAAAAUGUGUACAUUUGAGGUAUUGCCACUUAGUGUUGAUAUUGUGAAUUAUCUUGUUCCUAGGUGGCUUGUUAGCUCUACAAGUGUCAUUUGCUUGCGUUUUAUGGGUAAAGAUGAUGUUGGAUAUAUUUGCGAUCUACCAAUGAGUAUUAUUUCCAAAAUACUUCUUGUCCUUGACAAUUGGUAUUCCCAUCAUGUGGUAGGAAUUGCUAAUCGUCUUUACAUUGGAUUUUGUGUUUCGUUUGUCUUCCUUACCUCUUGUGGAUCUAUUUUGAAAUGUCUAGUGUUUUUAUAUAGAGAGAGAAAGUGAUGAUCCCAUCUUGUGCAUUUUUUAUUUCAAUGCAAAUUCUAUAUAAUGAACAUCCCUUGGGGGAGCUAUCCUAUUUUCUUUAGAACACUCUCUUUAUUCGCCCAUCAUAAAAUUUUGUGAUCCCCAUCAAGUGUGUGUUGAAGGGAGGAAAGUCUUGCUCUUUACGAUGCUUUAUGCCAUCAUGAAAUUUUUUCGAGGGUUUGGUUUUUUGGAACCUACCUCUCUUUUGGAAACUAGAUACCUCAUGUUUGUUUUCCUUCAAUUAGUAUCUUGUUUCCUUUUAUUUGGCAUGUGUCAAUGGAUAUCUCAUUCCUUGAGGUAUCUUUUCAUUGAUAUCCUUCAAGUGAUAGUUUUUCGUUUGGUAUCUUAUUAUCACUUGAUACCUUGUCUUUUGGUGUAUUAUCAACUUUGUGUUGAGUUGAUUCUUGAAAGCCUUGAGCAUGCAAAUUUACAAUAUAUAUAGCUUCUUUUGCUUGCUUUCUUUCUUUGACCCAAUAUAUAGGGGGAAAUCCACCUUGUCGUAAAUUGGCUAAAGUGUGCAUGAAAUCCAAAUUCAUAUCUAUGUGCACAUAUGUAUGUGGAGUUUGUCCUAUGUAUUGUUGGUUUUCUAACUCUUUGGUCCUAAUGAGCUUGGGCACCAUUUUGUUUGUUUUGUUGUUCCAGGAACAAUUGGAGAUGCAUUGGAUGCUCGGCUCACCUAUAAGGAAGGUGUUGAGACCAUGUGAUUAUUGGAGCUAAGUUACGAUGAUCAACGAACAACUAUCUACUACAUCAAUCCAGUGUUGUCUCGGUAACAAGUAUCUACUUCAUGCAUUCAUUUCUUCCAAAGGCCCAAACCUGUCUUUUCUUUUCCAGGUUGCAUCAUGGCAUGAAUCUCUUGAUUCGUUCUUGUAGUACUUGUUUCCUUUCUCAAAGCAUGAGAACGAUGAUGUCUUAUUGCUAGUUGGGAUGUCUUUGAUGUUCGUAUGUUGGAAGUUCAUAUUGUACAAUAAGAAUAUAUUAGGCCAUGUGCUAUGCUUCCAAGCAAAGAUCUUAUUGAUAUAUUUAUGACUUCCUUUUGGAUAUCUUGUUUGUUCCUUCUUGUAACCAUUUCGUGUGUACAUCCUUCUUUGUGGAUAUAUAUAUCGUCAUGAUUGUCUUCUACUUAGAAUAUUUUACACAUGAGAGAAGUUACAUCUCUAACUGAUAUCCUCUUUUCUUUCACGUCCACCGUUGCAUUUCCUUUUUCAGUAUUGGUGGCUUUGUUAAAGGAUUUGUCUUGAGUGCGUAUAUUAUUUUCCUACAUCUUGAUGCACUCUUUGGCCGUGAAGAUUAUUUUUCCUCAUGCUUGUCUUGAUGAGGGUUUUGCCAUUUCGAUUGGUAUCCCUCCUCUUGACAAGGUUCUUAUUUCCUAUCUUCACCAUGGGUUGUGACAAGCGUUGGUUCUUAUUUUGUUUAUUAGUAAGCUUGUGAACCCAUUUUUUAGUAUGUGUGUGUGGGAAUGAUAUGUCUUGCACUUUGUUUCUCAUUUCAUCAAGACUAUGUUGAUGAGUAAUGCUCAUCCUUAUCUUAGUCGUCUCAAGUGCUUUGCCAUGACUCACACACAUUAUUUUGGUUAAGUCUAUUCUUAAGUUGCUUCUUUUACAUGUUGCUCAACCAUUUGUUUUGUGCAAGUGGUAAGCUUAUUGCCUCAUCUAUGUUCUUGCACUCGUUGUGUGUUUUUAUUAAUUUUGGGGGAGAAACGAUCCUAUUUUGUGCACUUGUAUCAAAUACAAAAAUCUAUUAUUAGUGCACAAAUCAUGGGGAGCUUCUCUAGUUUAGAUAAAACACUUUGCUGCCUUUAUCAUAAUAUCUUUUAUUCAUGUGGUUCGAAGGACCGUAUGAUUGUUUGUUCCAUCUGGUAUCUUUUGAUUGCUUGCCUCUAUUUUUGUAUGUCCUUGUGGCAUACGAUCCUUUUAUUUGCAAUAUUUGGGUCCUCGAUAUAGUUCGUUUUCUUCCAACUUCUUAUCAUUGUAUUUGUGUAUUUCUCUGCACUCAUUUGUUGAGAAGUACACACUUUUUGGAGGACCACCUACUAUAUUGGCUUUCUAAACUUUGUGUCCGUUUUGGCAAUCGAUGCCAAUGGGGGAGAAGUUUAGAGAGUUUAGUUUGGUUAUGCUUAGAGGGUUUUGCUUUUAUUGCAUAAGCAUUUACAUCUUGUACGCAUGCAUUAUUGCAUUGCUUUGCAUGUGUGUGAUUGGUUAUGCUUAUUUCCUUAUAUAAACUCUCUUUAAGUGGUUGUCAUCAAUUACCAAAAUGGGGGAGAUUGCUAGAGCAUAUCUCUCCAUAUGUGGUUUUGGUAAUUGAUGACAAUUCCUAUGGACUAAUGGUUGCCUUAAGUUAUAUUUAUAGGAUUUGUCCAUAUGCACUUCUUGAAGUCCAUCUAUUGGGUUGAAGGAGUUUAUAUGAUGACCAAGAUGGUACUCAAGGUAUUAUACAAAGAAUGGUCAUAGAGACACAAGGUUGAUCAAGAUCGUUAGACAAAGAGUAAAUUAAGAUGAUCAACACCCAAAGCGUACAAGAUGUACCGAGAGGGAUCAAGUGAUCCCAUGGUAGGGUAAGCAUUGUCCAUUACGUGUUUGUGUACUAACACAUGGUCUUCAUGAGAGUUCUAUGUGGGGGUUAGGUGUGUUACCAUGGGCUUGCGUCAAAAGGAAGAUCUCAUACAACCCAUGAAGGAUGACAUUAAGUGGUGAUCGUCAUCAAGAUUGCGGUGUGCAAGGUCAAGUGGAUCACCACGAAUAUAUCAUGCUUGUUGCUUGCCGUCCAUUGUGGUGGCAAUGGACUUGUGAAGAUAUGCUGAAGAGUGGCUCACACAUAGUGAGUAUGGGGGAGCAAUCAACUAGUCUUCAUCAAGCCAACGCAAUCAAGAAAGGUGCUCCAUCUUGAGAAAGCCAAGAUCAUCAUCGACUAGCUCAAGAGGACGAGGUGCAAGGUAUAUGUUUGCCCUUGAUAGGUUUUCUAUUUUAGGAUAGAUUGAUGUACUGUCAAGGGGGGCUCUCAAGUGGGUAGCUUGAUCGUAUCGUUCGUUGAGAGCUCAAACCAUUUGCAUCCUUGAAUCAUACUUCUUGGUUCUUGUUUGGUGUUUCUCUUUGUGAGUUUUAGAACUUAUGGUCAUCUUCAUGACAUGCUCGAGUUCAUCGAAAACGGAGUCCAUAUGCAUCUUCUAUGGUGUUUUCGAUGUUGGGAGUUUUUACCGGUCUUAUUCGAAGAAGGGUUCUCACCAUUUUCUUAUGGGCCUUUUCUCACUUGCUUCUUAUUGAUAUUUCUAUCAAGAUUGUGUUAUCCCAUGUCGUUAGCUUUCCAAAAAACUUGGUUUCGUUGAAAUCGGAGUCCGUAUGCAAAAGUUAGAGUAGAUUCAGUAUCCACCGGUAGUACCGCUCCUCGUGCCAGCGGUAGUACCGCUCCUGUAGCGGUAGUACCGCCCCCAGAGCUGUAGUACAGCCUGCGGAGCUGUAGUACCUCCCCCAGAGCUGUAGUACCGCUCCGAAUGGGCGUUAGUACCCCUUCGGGACGUUAGUACUCUCUCUAAGCGGUUGUUUUUCGUCGGACUUUUUGCGAAAACUUUCUCUAGAGGUAGUACCGCCAAGGAUGGAGGUAGUACCGCCAGCGCUAGCGGUAGUACCGCGAGGGCUAGCAGCAGUACCGCCAGGGGCUAGCGGUAGUACCGCCAGGGCUAGCGGUAGUACCGCUGUGCUCGGGCUGUAAGUGGGGGUAACGGUCUGAUUUCUUCCCCCAUUAUAUAAAGGGGUCUUCUUCCCCCUUGGACUUAUCUAUCUGUUGAGAUCAUGUUCUACCCCCAUUGUUGACCUUCUUAGAGCUUGUUUACUCUCAAUCCCUCCAAUGAUUCUUGCUUGUUCUUGAGGAAAAAGAGAGAGGAGAUCUAGAUCCACAUCUCCACCAAUCACUUUCUCCUCUAUGUGAGGGGAACCCCUUGGAUCUAGAUCUUGGAGUUCUUUGUGAGCUCCUUGUUCUUCCUCUUAUAUUUCUCGAUAGCUUUUGUUGUUGUGGAGGGAUUUGAGUGUGAGGGACUUGUCCACUUCGUGUGUUCUUGCCAUUGCAUUAGUUGCAUCGGAUUGAGUUCUCCACGGUGAUACGCGGAAGUGAAGUUUGAGAAGCUUAUUACCUUUGGUACUUAUGUAACGCCCAAGAUGCGAUCCUAUCCUCAAUUUGGCACGAUGCCUCGUUAGGGAUAAAAGCGCAUCUCGUCGUUUCGCAAGAAUGGAUAUCGUUACAAGUACAUGUACUGAAAAGAUGAGAUAUAUAUAGAAUUGGCUUACACUCGCCACGAGCUACAUCAGAGUCACAUCAGUACAAUACAUAAUAACACGAAGAAGAGCAGGGUCUGACUACGAAAGAAAACAAACGAGAAAAGAAGAACGACGACCAUCCUUGCUAUCCCAGGCUGCCGGCCUAGAACCCAUCCUCCCCCCCCCCCCCGAAGAAGAAGCAACUCCAAAUGAACAAUCAAAGCGCUCGUGUCAAGUAACCUUUACCUGUACCUGCAACUGGUGUUGUAAUAAUCUGUGAGCCACAGGGGACUCAACAAACUCAUUUCCAAAGGCAUCAAGACUAGCAAAGCUUAAUGGGUGAGGUAAGGUUAAGUGGUGAGGUUGCAGCAGCGACUAAGCCUUAUAUUUAGUGGCUAACUUACGAGUGCAAGAAUAAACAGGGGGAUGAUCUAUCGCAUAACGGACGUGAACUACUGAUGAUCAAAUGAAUGAUCCUGAACACAUACCUACGUCAGACAUAACCCCACCGUGCCCUCGAUCGGAGAAGGAACUCACGAAAGAGACAGUCAUGGUUACGCACUCAGUUGGCAAAUUUUAAUUAAGUUAACUUCAAGUUAUCUAGAACCAGUGUUAAACAAAGUUUCUACGUUGCCACAUAACCGCGGACACGGCUUUCCGAAAGAUGUAACCCUGCAGGGGUGCUCCAACUAGUCCAUCACAAAUUAGCACAACCCGCAUAGAAAUCCUCGAUCACGAAGCUCGCGAUCUCGUCGGACUCCUUAGUGGAAAACCUCAACUCUGAGGUUACCCAAAGCAUCACCAGAAUCGCGAUGCACAAGACAUUCAUCAAAGGUAAAACUAAUCCAUCAAGGCCGCCCGGCAUGUCGACGAUCCCGAUAGGAGCCGCGUAUCUCGUUCUCAGGACACGACGGAUGAGCGAUUGUUACCACGCCAGACGCCGAGUUGCCCCGGGUAGCGUUAGUAAGCUGCUCUGUUUUGGACGAGCACCAUCAGCACUGACCCUCCCUGUAUUAUGUAAAAUUACUCCUCGGGUUCAUGACGCCCUAUGCUUUCAAUAUUAACAAAAUUAUCAUGUUGGGCAAAUGUAGUACCAAUGUUGGGCCUUGUCAGACCAGCUUUAAUCUAAAACUAAUUAUCAAUGGGGUCCCCAUAACAACCCCGAUCGUGUUAGGAGCGCUCAAUUAUGGAACAUAACACCGGUUGCCGAAACUAAGGGGGCAAAGGUGGAACAAAACACGAGGCUAGAAAGGCCAAGCCUUCCACCUUUUACCAAUUAUAUAGGUGCAUUAAAUUAAAUAGCAUUUAAUAUGGUGAUAUAACAAGGAACCUAUGUUAUCACAUGGAAGCAACUGCACCUGCAACUAGCAACGCUAACACAUGGUUACGCAAGCGAUAACAUAGCCAAUCAGUGGUUUGCUAGGUUGUGAACAGGUUGACGGUUUCAUGGCAAUGUUGAGAGGCUGAUAUUUAAUAGGUGGUAGGCAACGAGACAUAACGACAAAGACGAUAAUACUAGCAUGGCAAUGAUAGUAAUGGUAUCUAGGAAAAUGGCCAUCUUGCCUGAGAUCCCGCUUGGAAGAAGAAUGACUCCGUGAAGCAGACGAACCGAUGUAGUCGAACUGGUCCUCACUUUCCGACACGCUUGCGGAACUCUAUCGGGACGAAGGAAACCAGAAACAAGCAUCAACACAGAUAUUCACCACGCGAUGCACAACACAUAUGAUGCAUGAACGGUUGAAUACAUGCGGAACAUGGCAUGGCAAUUCACACAAUCAAACACUACACAUUAAGUGAAGUUCAAUAUGCAAUGAGUUGCAUAUUGACGAAACCCCACAUACGGAUUAUUUAAUUCUAUCCCGGUUAGGUACACGGCAAUGUUAAUUGUUGGUUAAACAUGGCAAGAGGUUAAGCGUAAUUAAACUACCUAUCUAGACAUUUUAAAUGAGGUCGGAAAUGACAUAUAGCACCUCUGAAACGACCUCACAUGUUAAUUUAUAAUUCUGUCUAGAUCUGAACUAAAGCGUUUAAAUGUUUGUUAAAAACCAAAAUAAAUAGGUUCACGUGAUUCUACGCGUCAUUACAAUCAAUUUACACAUAGAGAACAUCUCCAACGGAGCUACGGUUCAAAAGAUACGAACACCGGAAGAUAUGAUGGCAUGAAUGCAAAAAUGUGUGCAUCGACAGUCACGAGCAUUUCAAAACACACAACCAGCAAGGUAAUAUGAAACUACACGAGAUUCUAAGCAAGUUUCAUAUAGGACACGAUCAAAACGGAGCAACGGUUCAACAACUACGAGCUAAAUAAGAAAUCACUACAAUCUGCCAAAAUCAGCUACAUAACAUUUUCUACACCCCACAACUACGAGCUACACAAAUCCAAAAUGCUCAACCAAGGCAUGAGGCGGUAGAGGGCAAUAUGCACUACAACAUACUACCAAUAACACCCUGCAUGGAAGCAUGGAUCACUAGGAAAAGAAGUCACAAAAUGACAUCUCACACACUGUUUCAGACUUGGUGAAAACCAUAGUUUAUGAAAGUGCAGUUUUCGAUCUGAAGGCAUAUUGACAACAGCAAAACCAUAAGCUACAUGACUCCAAAUGGCAUGAAAAUUCACAGCAUGCUAUAGAAUCCUAAAGUCUACAACUAACUCCAUGGCACCAACCUCAAAAGAGGUACAGAUCACCAGAUAAACUCAUGCAAAGACAGCAACAAAAUAUAACAGAUUUUAGACUUAGAAAUAUUUCAGCAUCUACAAAACAACACUAUUUUCUAGCAUGUUGAGAGCAAGCAAACCACAACUAAACAUGGAUUUCUAUUGCAACCAAAAUUACCAGAGGCUAGCCUACACAUCCAAGGCAUAUCUCUAGUUGACAACUCCUUCAUAUCAAGCACGGAUUAAAUCACACAAAAUAAACAAACGGGAAUCACGGCAAAAUAUCACGCGCACUAACUUGAUCGAAAGCUAAAACUAAAUGCACAGUUAAAUUUUAUGGAUUUUUCUAACCCAAAAACGUAUAUAACAUGAGGGGUUGCAAAACAAAAAUAAUGCCACACGAAUAUGCGAAAAUAUGUUCUACACACGAUAUAUGAAACUAGCUACAGAAUCCUACAUGCAAAAAUACAAACCACUACUCUAAAGUACAUGGCAAAAUGUCCCUAAAAAACAUGAGCAUUUUAUCUAUGGGAUUCGAGCAAUCCGGACAUGCACUGAAAUAUAUACGGGACAAUUCCCUAUUUGGACAGCACGCAAAACUAGGCAUACGACAGGCCAAACUAUUUCAAACAUGCAUGCAAGUUCCAAAAUAUUAAUCUACACGGAAAACUACACGAUUUACAUAUAUGACUCGCCCCGAUCCGACAUACAGUUUAAUAACUACGGUCAUUUUAAUAUAUACCAAUUUUUCUGAAAAUCCUAAUUCACAAGGAAAAACCUAAAAAAAUCUACGGGCUGAAUUGGCCAAGGCCUAACCAGAGCUCUGGGCGCACAAUGCCUAAACUACGCACAGGUGGGACUUAGCGGGGCGGUGCUCACCUGAGGGGCCAUGGCCCAUGAGAGGAGGCAGCAGGCCUGGGCCUUCGGGCAAGGCAGGGAGGCGGACCACGGGGGGGGGGGGACCUGGCCUGGCGCGGACUGGGCUAGACGAGGCGCUGGGGAGGCCGGCUGGCGUCAGCCUAGGCCGGGGUGAGCCGAGGCCCACACGGGCGAUGCGGGCGGGCGAAGCGGCUGGAUCGUCGUGGCCCUCCCGUGCUCCUCACGGCAGGAGCCAUGGCGGCGGCGGCAGCAGCACAGACCUGACGAAGGGGCUCCGGUGAUGGGAUCGAGGGGGCGGCGACGGAUCUGGACGGAUCCGGGCAUGGGAGCCCCAUUCCCGGCGGCGGCGGCGAGCUUUGGGCGGAGGACGGCACGGGGAGAGGCGAGGCACGACGGUGGCUGAGCAAGGGCGGCGAGGUUCGGCUUGCCGGCAGUGAGCGUGGCGGCGCACGAAGUGCGGUGGCGACCUGGAGGAGCUGCUCGGCUGCGGUCACCUCAGGCACGCGGGCAACAGCUCGAGGAGGAGCUGGGGAGGCAGGGACCUGCGGGAGGCGCCCUGGGCCGUUGGAUCGAGUGGCUUGGGCUGGAUCAGAUCUGGUGGCUCAGGAGGUGGGUGGAGGCUGGCUGGGGCGCGGAUUACGAGGCAGAUCUAGGGUUUGCAUGAAAAACGAGGGAGAGAGAGUGGUUGUCCAAAAAUGACAUGGGGUCCUAUUUAUAACAAUGGGGGGCUAGGUUUAGCAGUUUUUCGGCCUGGUUUCAACCGCACGAUUGGAAUCAAACGGUUUUGCACGUGGGACGGGCUAAGUGACCGUGUAGAGUAGGUUAGCCGGAGAUAAGAGGGACAAUGGGCACCCGGCAACGUAUUUUUAAACACCGAUAAAACGCCCGACGAUAGACCAAAUAAGCUGCUACGGUCGACCGUUCGGGUACGAGACGGACUUUGAUUGCGACGAAAUUUGACACGCGGCCUACCUAUUAUAAAACACGACCGCACACCAAGUUUCAACCCAAUCAGAGAAAGUUUUAUACACGCUUUUGAAAACAAGAUUUAACGGGCGCGUCCGAGUAUGGUCGGGCUCAGAACGGACAACGUCGAGAACCAGCAACUAAUAAUGGAUGCAACUUUUGAAAACUAGCGGCAACGGGAUGCCGAUGCAAUGCAGAUGAUGCGCAUGAUGCGAUGAUGAUGCGACAAAUAAAAACAACCACAUGACGAAAACGGAAUAAAGAGGGAAUCUUCUAGAAUGUUGGUCUCGGGCUGUCACAACUUAGUACCCUAGAUAUUGUUCUUCGUGGAUGCUUUGGCGUCCUAGAAGCUUGGUGGUGUCUCGGAGCUCAAUCAUUGUGGUGUAAAGCUCUGGGCAAGCGUCGGGGUCUCCAAUUAGGUUGUGGAGAUUGCCCCGAGCAAUUUAUACGGGUACCCGUGACCGCCCCCAAGGUUUGCCAUUUGUACGGGUUCGGUGACCGCCCUCAAGGGUCCUUUAGUGGAAUCACGAUAUCUUGCAUUGUGCGAGGGCGCGAGGAGAUUACGAUGGCCUUAAUGGCAUCUUGGGGAGCAUUGUGCCUCCACACCACUCCAACGGAGAUUAGCAUCUGCAAGGGUGUGAACUUCGGGAUACAUCAUCGUCUCCGCGUGCCUCAAUUAUCUCUUACCCGAACCCUUUACUUUGUGAUAGCCAUAUUGUUUUUUGUCAUAUAUCUUGCUAUCACUUAGUUGUUUAUCUUGCUUAGCAUAAGUUGUUGGUGCACAUAGGCGAGCCUAGUUGUUUUAGGUUUUGUGCUUGACAUAUUAAACGUUAGUUUUAUUCCGCAUUUGUUCAAGCCUAAACCGUAAUUAUUUUAAAGCGCCUAUUCACCCCCCCUCCUUUAGGCGACAUCCACGUCCUUUCAACACCUUCUCGCAAUUGAAUGUGCAUGACACCACGGUUGGGAAAUCGUUCUACUAGUGUUGCCAGUAGUUGACAUCUCCUGGGGCAACCAUGAUGGUGGCAUGAGGAGUUGGUUCAUGACAGAUUCUUCUUCGUCGCCUGCAUGUCAUGUCCCUUGGUUUGUCGUUGCGUCUUCUUCUUACAUAGAGGCAUUGCUCUGGUAGAUGCUUGAUUGGGUGGCAAGUAAGAGAUUUAUUGCUAAUCAACAAGUUAAUCAAUCAUUUAAUCAAUUAAUCAAGCUAUUUAUCGGUUUAUCGUCUACUCGAUGACCAUACGAGUAGGAAUUAAUCGGCAAGUUAUAAUCGUAUGAAUUCUUCAAUAGGGUAUAGAGGUGAAGUCAGAGCUACACGUCAAGAGGCGGCUCGUUGGCAACAAUAGCCUCCAAAGGUAGGUUCGGUGUUUAGCAAUAUUGAGUGACCACAUCUAGCGAUGUCGGUGCAAGAUAUUUUUAUUUCGCAUGUGAGGCUCGUCGCGAAGUAGGGGAUGCCUACUCAUCAAUGCCUCCGACCGAUUAUUUGUCAUAAGCCAACAAGGACUCAUGCAUCUUUCACGGUAAAGCCUCUUCAUUGGUCGUCUCUCAUAUAGCAAAAAGGCUAAACGUAUAAAGAGUUACGUAUGGUUAUGAUUCUUUCUUUCUUACUAACAUUUUCCCUCCUGAUUUUUGAGGGGAUGGGGUUCUCAUCCUCCUUAAUCUCCAAUUAAAAUUCACCUGCGUGUAAAAUCCAUGUAAACCUAUCUAUGUGUAGUGUUACUGUUAGUCUCAUUUGCUGGGAGAGGCGUCGAACAUGACCAUUGCUGGAAACCUCGACACGAUUAUUCUCUUCAAUGAUGUGUGGGGGUCUUUGUGCUCUAGAGUGUCUAGCUUUUGUUGGCAUGAUGUGCUAAUUUUUGCUCGAGUCUUUGUUCAUUAACGAGGUGAUUUUCUUUUAAAUUAAGAGAAAUACUUGAGUUCAUCCGACGGAUGUAUCUGUUUGCGUCAUCCAUCUUUAUAAUCAUCGGAUCUGUUAUUGAUUAGACGAUCGAAAGGCAACCUCCGCCACUUCAUUUUCUUGCAACUUGACUUGUGCUUGAGAAGCGUUUUCGCAACCCGAUCCUUAUAGCAGACCGUGUAGUCGCCGAGCUCAUUAGAAACAGCAUUCCUGUUGCUAGAAAGAUUUCUAUAAUAUCAAUGGUUUUGCAAAACUUUCUUCCGUAGUAGGUGAAGGUAAAAAAUAAUUCAGCAACAUUAACUUUGUUGCAAAACAACUUUUGCAACAAUACCUGUGUUACAAAAAAUCUGCAACAUGAAAUCUAUUGCAAACAUCUAAGUGCAACAUUAUUCUUGUUACAAGCCGGCAGUUAAAUAUGACAACCAUCCACAUUUAAUACAAUGGCUCGCUAGACGGCAAAUCUUUUAAAAAAAUCAAUCGACCGACGGGUAGCGUUUUUCUUAAAUUAGUGAAUAGAACCGAAAUUUUGUGAGAAGCUGAAAAAUAAAAACACUAUGCCACGGUUUACCUAAAAAUGGCAACUUUACUUAAUGUUGGAUAGAAAAGUUGACCAGUAGGCUAGCAUGAGGCCAAAUAUCAUGGAACAUCACUUGUACCAGAGAUUUGGCGACCUCGCGAUUAACGGUUACUUACGAUAAACUUUGAGGUUGGCCAAUGUACAACCACCCAGGGAAUUGCAUGAACCACCAACUAUUGGUGCUGAUUUUGCACAAAACACUUACUCUACAAGUUUAUUGCACAUAUAACAGCACAUAUAGCUGUAAUCCAUUGUGGUUCGGUCUAAUCCAACGUUUGAACAAGUUCAUGUGAUUUUAGGAUUGGCCCCGCUUUUAUGGGCACCCGUGGGCAAAAGAAAACAGCCACCACAGCCGACCAACUAAAACUAUCAAUGUCUGCCAAACAUUUGAGGUUCAACUAAGCUUAAGGACUCCUUUGAUACAAAGAAAUUUCAUUGGAUUUUUGGAGGAUUUGGAUCCUUAGGAUUUUUUCCUACGAUGGUCGUUUGAUUCGUAGGAUUGAAAUCCUUUGAAAUUUUUACAUAGGAUUCGUUUGUACUACAUUUUGAAGGAAAAUUUCCAUCCAUUCAAACCUCUUUGCAGAAUUCCUUUGUUUUUCCUGUGCUAUCAAACACACUUUCAAAUCCUGUAGUGUAGAAAAGGACAUGCCACUCUAUUCCUACGUUUUUCCUAUUCCUACAUUUUGACAAUCCUACGAAUCAAACAGGCCCAAUUUUUCUUGAUUAGUACUGAGUACACGAAGGAUUUAGUGAAAUAUUUGUGCACAUUUGUAGAAAUGUAAGAUUUCGAACGAGCGAACAGAAGUUGUCAAUAUCUUCCAGACCUCUAGUUCAGAUGAGUUGAGAUAUUCCUAGGUUAGUGCUGGCCACAUUAAUGGUCAACUAGAUUUUUUUAAAUGUUGAAUUUAAAACCAAAAUUUGAAUGAGACAACUAAAACUGUCAACACCUACCAAGCCAUUGGUCCAAAUAAGUUACCUUUUUCAAGAAUAGUACUCGAUACAUGUGUGAUUUACUGAAUUUCUCUCGUGUUUUUCUGGAAACGUUGAUUUUUUUGAGUAAAAAUAUAAAUGGACCGUGUUUUGAGUAAAAUAAAAAUGGAUCACAUCCAUACGCCGAUUGGGAGUCCUUACUUUGAUCUGUUGGGUGAUGUGACCGAUUUUCAUUGCCACGUGUGAAACAAUGUGAAAAUUGCAAUGGGUUAAAACAAUGUGACGUUUUGCACAACGACCCGUAGGGUAGGUGCUCUGUACAAAAUCAACACCGAUAGUUGAUGGUAUGUGCAAUUCCCUCCGCCAAACGCAGCAUGAAAAUUACCUCCUCGGAUAGAAAUAAACAGUGCCAAACCAAAGCCCCGCCGUAUCAAAACAGUUGAAUAUAAGCAGCGAGUUAGAAAAAAACAGUAGCAUACGAGAAGCUGGUGCGUGAUAAUGCAGAUUCGGAUUCCACGUCCACCCACGCACUGAGUCACGGAGCGAAGCUUGCAGGCAACUUCCGGGCUAGCAGACGCCGCCGCCCGCCUUUGUUCCUGGCCACUACUUGCUUCCGGUCCGUGUCAUCGAGUCGACACGCGAGAGGAACCGAGCCACCGGCGGGCCGUGUGAGCCGAGCACUCGAUCCCCGGCCCAGCCACGCAACCCCCCUCAUUCCCGGUCCAACUCCAACGUAUGUGGAGAAGACGGGGUACGCGACAGGAGUUCACCUCGAUGCAUCUAUCCACGCUACACGCGUCCGGCCGGGACGGGUUUGUGGAGGCUAGACGGAGGAGAGGAGGCUCCACGUUUGUCGGCAACAAAGCGGUGGCUGCAGAACAAAUCCAUCCGCGUCGGUCAAUGCGUUUUGGAAUUUGAUGCGGUUGCAAGGAGGCUGUGGAAUCCCUCUCUCCCUCUCUCUGCGGUUGGGAGGAGAUAUGGAUCAGUGGCUGGCUGGACGGCGUGGCGACGCGCUCGGAACAUAUUCCGCGGCUCUCUUAUUACGGAGGCAGCAGCAUAUCAUGGCGGCCAAGCAACGCAUCGGCCAACUCCUGGUGGGAUCACAUCAUCAGGAUGCGAAUUCCCCGGUGAAAACAGCGACAUCACGCAGCGGAGACAAAACAUCAGCCGCGUACGUUUCUGCCAAAGAAAAAUGAGGGGAGAAGAAAGGGAGCUUUCUUUGGCAUGGUGAAAAAAAGACUGCCGCAUAUGCGAUUGGGAGAUGCCUCCCUCCCCGCUCGGUGCUCAAUACUACAAGAUGGCAAGCCUUUUUUGUGCACUUUUUUAAAGCAAGAAAGGGGCCGGCGAGAAACGAGACGGCUGCUUGUAAAAUAUUGAUUUGCUUUCAACGGUGAGAGUCGGCGUAAAGGAAAUGGCGGCAUAUCGGCAAAGCCUAAUGGAAUCGUCAAGGCGUUUAUGCACGUCGUGAUCACGUGAGAUAUGGGUCCCCGAACGAUUUGGCGGGAUCGUACUAGGUGAAAGUCGGGCGGGCGGCCGAUCAAAUAAAUAAAAAACGAACGAAAUCGCCGUUCGUUCGUUUAAGUCAGAUGCACGGACGAUCAAUUCAAACAAACAAAAAACGAACGAAAUCACUGAUGGUUUGGGUCGGAGUUGGUCUGCUACACGACGUGAUCGUUUCGUGAUCAAACGAUCAGUGCCCGACAAAUCGUUCGGGGAGCCGUCGCUCUCGCACAUAUCUCCGGCUCGGGUCACGCCAUCAUCCAUCAAUCCUUGUGGAUCUUAACAGAUUGGAUACGUAAAACAACUUGGUUGCUCUUCACUUUUAGCGCCAAGAUUGGAUGCGCACAAGCACACGCACUUCCCUUCUCCAAAGGGCAGUUCGUUCGCGGGUAGUAAAAAGUUUCUCAGGUGAUUGGCGAAAGGUAGUAAGGCCACGUGCAAGUAACAGUGCGCCAGCUGCUUUGCCUACAUCCAACUCACCGAGCCGCCAUCCUUCAAUGAAUUAUUCAGGCAUCGAACCGCCGUCUUGAAUUAUUGGAGCGGUUGCACGAAUCAGAAACGCAGAAGAUAAGCAUCAAAUAGGACCCGUCAAACAAAAGAAUCAAUUCGUGCAUGUAUCCCACGCGCAGUUUGUUUACUCCUGCUUGUACGAUGUGAUAAUAACAGGACUAAGCAAAACUUGCAUCUAUUAGGAGUAGUAACAAGAAUUACAGAAUUAAAAUAUGAUUUGAGCAGAAAGGAAUGCAGUAGGACAAGCUCGUCUUAGAUAAAAAAAAUGCUUAUUUAUAAGUUGUGACAGAUUUUCUCCAAACAGUACGCUCAUUGUGGCAGACGCAGCAAACCACCUAGAGCUAAUAGUUUAUUCAGAGUAGCAAUAGCCUGGCCGGCUGCUUCACAGUAACCAAAACGACAAACGGAAGUCAGAACGAAUUCCACAGACGGAACAGCGACAGCAAAAAUCAUCUUAUCACUCGCACAGCACCGCGCCCUCCUCCAGAGAAUCCUCCUCCGCCCGCCAUGCGAGCAGGUUGGCAAGCUUGCCUUCCUUGACCAGAGGGUGGCCGCUCUCCACAUUCUCGCCCUCGAAGCAGUGGAAGACGGACCUGGGCGACCCGGCGGAGACAGCAACCUCUUCAUUCGCGGUAAAGCUCUGGUAGAUGAGGACGCCCCCGCAGGGGAGCUCCUGCUCCACGAUGUUGUUGCAGUCGUAUGCCUCGGCGUCGAGCUUCUUGCCCCAGGUGGCGGCGUGGCCGCGGCCACCGAAGAUGGUGACCGCCACAGAGAACUCUGAAGGGCCGAAGCACCGGAGAACCCUCUUGACGAUGUCGCCGUAGACCAGGGCGGAGGCGUCCAUGCCCUGGACCUCAUAGCUCGCGUAGCUGAAGCCGUCCUCGGGGGUCACAUGGAUGGUGGAGAAGGCAGAUCCGUUGAUGGCGUUCAUGGAGUAGCCGCAGGGCUCGAAGUCGAAGUCGCACACCUCCAUCUCAGGGAUGAUGUUGGAGAUACCAGAGAGCUUGGUCAUCUCCUUGGCACAGGAGACGUGGCCAUCAGCAGAAGUCUUGAAGAAGACAGAGGCCUUCUUCUUGUCAAGCCCAGUCAUGCACAUCUCCAGGGUGACCAUGGGCUGCUCGGGUUGCUCAGUGGCAUAGUAGAUGUGCCACUUCUGGCCAGGCUUCGCUGGGUCGCCAAUCACAUAGGCAUUGCCACCAGACUUCAGGUGGCCGAAGUAGCGGUUCAGGACAUCAACCUCCUCAGAGAAGCUCCUGUGGGGAGCAGGCUGUGCGCCGGGGAAGAUGAACAUCCCACGGGAGUACUUCACGGCAGCAAGCGGCAUGCACAGCUCCUCAGCUAGCUCAAGAAUCCUUGGAAUGGUGAGCAGAAGCAUGGUAGUCCCACAGGUCUUGAUCACAAUCUUCUGAGAGUAGAUAAACAGGCUCGACUCAGAUAGCACAUACGAGUCAAAGUCCUUGUUGGAGAGCUCGGACACAAUGGUGCACCGUGCAAGAUCAAGAACAGAGUCAAUCUGGGCCCUAGAGAGGGCGCGCAGGCCACGACCAUGAGG
rnacentral:lncRNA from 1 species